UUUUUUUUUGUCACUAUUUGAAAGUCAAUAGGUGCAACUAGUAAUCAUGUUUUGAACACUUAGUUAGGUCAUAAGAAACCAGGGUUAUGAUACUUAUAAGGUACAUGCAAAGUCGGACCAAGGAAACGGAAGUAAAAGAAAGGUAAUCAAGACGUAAAAACAAUGGCAGUUUCGACACCCUACGAUGUUUUGAGCACUACUGUGGCUACGCAUCUCGGAUUCAGGCAAAUUUUAUGCUGUUUCGAAGCUAAGACAUAGACCUAUAUUUCUUAUGAAGAUAUCAACACCCAAUUCUCACGUUUUCAGGGUCGAACAGUCAUGGUCAGAGGCUUCCGCAAAAUCAUGACCAGAAAUAAGGCUUUGCGCGGACACUAGGAUUCUGGCCGUAACUCAGGCUACAAUGAUCCGAUUUAUCUGAAAUUUUUUAGGUAGAAAUAUAACUCAAUUGUCUAGCACUUUUAUGUUUUGGACAAAAGCUGUUUCGAUCUACAACAUGGAGAAAUUUGCAGCUCAGUUUUAGUCACAAAACAGGGCAGAAUUAAACUGUUAAAGAAACUUACCCAAACCCUUCACACCGGCAACAUUCUUGAAAAAUUUUGAAACAGGGGUUACAUUGGUCCAAACUUCACCAAAUUUUGACAAAAAAAACUACAUUCAAAGAUCUUCAUAUGUUUAGAAGGUCCCUUUAAGAGCUUCGGAUCACAACCAAGUCAAAUUUUAGCUAUACAGUCCAGCAGCUAUAAAAUUAAAGUAGAACAGUCUCGAAAAUCAGCAAACUUUGGAAAUUUACCAUAAUUCACACAAAUAGAACCAAGGUCUGAAAUUUUCAUGGUUUCUAUCCUCCUGAAUCAAGUUUCCAACGCAACAAACGAAACUCAAUUCUGACCUUCCUACACCAAGUUAUGACUAUUCUCCCGAAACUGUUCCAAGGUACCUGCUCCAAUUCGAACUUGCAAACUAACCAUUCAAUCACUCGUAUCAAUGAAGCCCUAAAUUUCAGCAAUCAAUCAUCAACCAAAAUAGAAAGAUUAGUCAUGAAUCAUCUAAAAUUUAACCAUACUUCUCCCCUUGUACAAGAGGUCCAUCAAUUAACAAGUAUUACUUACGAAUCAAACAACUAGUUACAUGAACAAAUGAAACCCUCAAUUUCAGCCAAGGUAACCCAACUUCAAGUCCAUAGAACUUCAUAAAAAUCAUGUCUUUAGUCUUCUAAUCACAUCAAUAAUUAAAGGCCCUUCAAGUUCAUAAGAAAAAGCUUGAGUUUCUAGUUUUACCUCUUGACCAAAGGUGGAACUUAGAAGCAAGAAAAAACUUGGUUCUUCUUGGAGCAAACCACCUCCUUGUUCAAGUUUUAGUGAAAGAUUGAAGUGCUAUGGCUUUCCCCUCUUGAUUCCUCCAAGUUCUUUGCUACAACUCAAGAUGAAAACAAUGAAGCUUUCCCUCUCUUUUUUCUCUCCUUAUCCACGGCCCUCUCUCUUUCUCUUCAACUCUUCAAGAGACCAAGUUAUAAGAUAUACACUAGCUAAUGUCUUGGUCAAGACUUAAGGGGUGUGCAACACUUGUCUUACUAAGAUUACUUCUUAAUCAAAAAAUCUCCCAACUAUGAAAUUAUUGAUACCUAGCCCCUUUAAUUUCCUUAUCUCUAUAAUUUACCCCACUAACUUAUCAAAAUAAACUUGGUUAUACAAGUGCAACUCACAUUCAUUUCCAAAAACAAAGAAAGCAAAGUCAUCCACAGACUACUAAAUUUCAAAGUAAGGCUAAUCAAGAAAAAAAAUAGUUUUAACGAAUGGUGUAACACCUAAAAUACAUAUCUUUAUCUAUUCAUAUGGGUUGGUUUGAGUUCUCACAAUAGAACCAAGGAGCAUAAGGGAGAAGUUGGAGCAAAGCACUGAGAAGUUUUCUUUUUUCCAACUAUUUUAAUAUGUAUUACUUCUUGGAUUUGUGUUUUAAUUCUUUCAUCAUGUGGAACUAAACUUUUUCUAGGGUCGGAGUUUUUGUGAAGGAGAUUUGAUUUAUUCUUCCAAUUACAAUUCUUGUCUUUCUCUAUGAUUUAUUUAUUUUGUUCUUAAUUACAUGUUUAUGCUUGAUCACCAUGAACGUGAAUUUUGGGUUUGUAUUGAAUUGAGAAAGAAAAUACAACCAUACAUUAGAUAGAUAAAUCUACUUAGCCUAAUCACGAGAGUAAGUUAGAAUUUGUAUGAAACACUUAUAUUACCUAAGUUCUUAAAGGGUUUAAUUAAAAUUUUGUGAUCUUGUGAAAGACAUAAGAUUUAAUUAAACAUACUUUAGAUGCAUUGAGAGAUGAUCUAGAAUACAAUUGUGUGAUGCAUUCAUAACUUCGCAAGAAAAUAAUUAAAAAAUUUAUUAAAACUCGAGAUUAAAACUUAAACCCUAGACUCGCACAACUAUGGUUUUCUCACUCAAAUCUUGAUUAAUUAAGUUGACUACUAGAUCUUCAUUAAUAAUCCAAAUACUUUGCAAUUUAAUUUUUUGGGUUAGAAAAAUUAAAGUAGAAAAUCAGCUCGUCCUUGAGGAUUUGAUCACUGGAAUGCUCCAGUUGAUCUUAUACUAUGAUUGACCUUGUAUACUUGCAGGAAUCCGUCGAUCAAGUUUUUGGCACCGUUACCGGGGACGACGCUUAAUUUCUCUACUUUAGUUAUUGUUUUUUAUUUUUAUUUUUGUUUUAGUUUAUCAUAUAUUUAGAUCUUCACUUUAUUUUUAAUCCUUUUGUUAGGUACUUGGUGUAUGACCCGAUCACAAAAGGGUGAUUUGAUGUAUGAUCUUGGAAUUGAGAAAACUACAAAGUACUACAUGAAACAAAAUCAUUUGCGAAAGUAGACACCACAACCACCAUCACCUGAUAUCAACAUCGCAAUCAAAUUGGCAGGGUUAGCAAGUUCAGAUGAAAAAACAAUGGCAAAAGAGAAUUAUAGUAAUAAUAAUAAAAAUAAUAAUCAACAACUUGUGCCACCUAUAGCUCCACCUGCUGGUCUUCAUUUGAGGGAAAUCAAGAGCCCCGUAGUAGCAGCAUUCCCAUACUGUAUCAGGUUGAGUGAAGGGGCAAGAAAUUAUGAGUUAAAGACCAUGCACUUUAAUAUGCUACCUGAUUUUCAUGGUCUAGCUAAUGAGGACGCGCUCACUUCCAUUCAAAAAUUUUAUUCCAUGGUGCAGACUUUUCUGUUAAAUAGACUAUCAGAAGAUGAACUACAAAUAAGGUGCUUCCCUUAUUGCCUUAGGGAUCGUGUAAAGUCAUGAUUUUUGAAUUUAUUAGAAGGAUCCUUGGCGACUUGCUAAGACGUGUACAACAUCUUUAUGACUUAGUGUUACUCACCACAAAAAACUAUUGAUUUGUGGAAUAAAAUCUGCACAUUUUCUCAAAUGGAAGGAGAGCCCAUUCAUGAGGUAUGGGAAAAAUUUAAGCUACUACUUGCUCAAUUUCUUCAUCACCAAUACCCGUUGGCUUUACAGGUGUAAUUCUUUUAUGACAAGUUAACAUUUACCUUACAAAACAUGGUGGAUUUUGUAGCAGGAGGAUACAAUGGGGAUGAAUCUUCGAAAGAGUUAGUUAGGAUUUAUGAGUUGCUAUCAAGUAACUCACAACAAAAAAAAUCCAGGGUAACAGAGCAAGUGUUCACGAAGUGUCUACACAAAAGAACUUGGGUUAACAGGUGGCUAAAUUGAGUAGACAAAUGUAACAAAUGCAAUCAUUACUCACUCGUGAAAUUGAAUAGGCAAAGUAUUGUGCUAAUUGUAGCAUGUAUGGGCAAACUACUGCGGGCUACUAUAAUAGAGAACCCGCUAUUAUGAUAAAGGAUGUGAAUUUUGCUAGAGCCUAUGGAGGUCAAGGAAUGAUUCCUUUUCAAACACUAACAAUCUAGGAUGGAGUACCCAACUUUUCUUGGAGGGAUCAGGGGAAUAAACCUCUAGGGCAACCAGGUUUCCAAUAUCAACUGCAAAAACCAUAGUAUCCUUCUCAACCUAUUCAAGAGAGAAAGCCAAGCAUGGAGGAUGUGAAGCUUCAAUAUAUGCAGAAGAUGGAUCAAAUGGUCCAGUCCCAAUAAACAUCCAAUCAGAGUCUCGAGAAAUAGGUUGAAUAACUAUCAAAGGCAAUGAUUGAGAGGGAGCAAGGUAAACUGCUAAGAUACCGAGGUGAAUUCCAAAAAAUUAACAAUGGCAGUCACAUUUCGAUCAAGAAAAGUGCUAGAUGAACCUACGCAAAGACCCAAGAAAAAAGCGAAGAAGCAAUAUGAGGUAUUAAAUGAUGGAAAAAGUGAAGAGACUAAAGAUAAGAUACCCAACUCAGGUGAAGAUGCUGCAACUGACAAUAUCCAGGUGAAGUUGCUUGAAGUUAAAUCAUAUGUUCCACCUAUUCCAUUUCUGCAAAGGCUAAAAAGAAGGGCAAAUGAAGGCAGAGAUCAGAAGUUUCUCCAGAUGUUCAAAAAGUUGCAAGUGGAUAUCCCAUUUGACAAGGCAUUGCAAACAUGCCAAUUUUUACAAAAUUCCUCAAGAAAGUCAUGUCAAAUAAGCAAAAAUUGAAGAAAUUUGCCACCAUGCCAUUAUCUAAAAAGUGCAGUAUUGUGAUCCAGUAUCAUCUUCCUAUUGAAAAGUAGGAUCCAAGGAGUUUCACAGUGCCUUGUUCUUUUGAAAAUAUUCAUGUUGAUAAGUGUUUGUGUGAUCUAGGUUCUAACAUUAAUUUAAUGGUGCCUAAAAUUGUGGUUCUUCAAUUAACUGAUCAUUCAGUGAGAUGUUCGAUAGGAAUAAUUGAAGACAUGCUUGUUAAAAUUGGUAACUUUUAUUUUCUUACCGAUUUCUUUGUACUUGAAAUGGAAGAAGAUGUGAAUAUGCUGAUUAUUUUGGGUAGAGUGUUUAUGGUCAUGGGUGGGGCAUUAAUUGAUGUUUUAGAAGGAAAACUGAUUUUGAGAGUAGGUGAGGAUAGGCAAGAGUUAAUAUGUUCAAGUCUUUGAAAUGUCCUUCUACCGAUAAAGCAUACUUAUGUAUUGAUGUGAUUAAUUCAGUAUUCGAUAAAACUGUCGAACAUAAAUAUUGUAGUGAUCCUAUUGAGCAUGCUAUUGCUUUGAGUUUAAAUAAUCAAGUAGAGGUUGUCAACUUGUUACACUCGGCAAAACGCUUGGAAAGGCAGGGGGAACGAUCAUUUGUUAAGAGUCAAUAAUUUGAAAAUAUUGCUGCUUUAAGUGAAAAAACUUGCCCUCAAUUGGAAUUAAAAUCAUUGGUUUCUCACUUAAAAUAUUCUUUCCUUGGAGCUAAUGGAACUUGCUCUAUGAGUAUUUCCUCUUCUUUUAAGUGAUAUUGAAGUUGAUAAAUUGUUACGAGUACUUAGGGAUCAUAAAAUAACUAUUGCCUGGAGUAUCACUGAUAUUAAAGGCAUUAGCUAGUCUGUAGUCAUGCACAGGAUAUUAUUGGAGGACAAUGCUAAGCCACAAAUGGAAAUCAGAGAAGGCUUAACCCUAACAUGACAGAAGUAAUCUGAGCAGAGGUCAUCAAGUUACUUGAUGCUGAGAUUAUUUAUCCUAUUUCUGACAGUCUUUGGGUAAAUUCUAUCUAGGUGACCCCAAAGAAGGGGGUAUGACAGUGAUAAGAAAUAAAAAAGAUGAAUUAACUCUACAUGUACUAUUACUGGGUGACGUGUUUGCAUUGAUUACAAGAAAUUGAAUGCCGCCACCAGAAAAGACCACUUUCUACUACCAUUGGUGGAUUAAAUCCUAGAGAGAUUUGCGGGGCAAAAAUUUUACAACUUGCUGGAUGGAUAUUCGGGAUAUAAUUAGAUUCCAAUUGCUCUAGAAGACCAGGAGAAGAUGACCUACACAUGCCCAUAUGGUAUAUUUACUUAUAGGAGAAUGCCAUUUGGACUCUGCAACGUGUUUGCAACCUUUCAGAAUUGCAUGAUGGCUAUCUUCUCAGACAUGAUGGUGGACAUCAUUGAGAUUUUUAUGGAUAAUUUUUUUGUUUAUGGUUCCUCUUUUGAUAUUUGUUUGGACAAUUUGAGUCAUGUCUUAGAAAGGUGUGCAGAGUUUAAUUUGGUCUUAAAUUAAAAAAAGUAUCAUUUUAUAGUGUGUAAGAGUAUAGUUUUGGGCCAUAAGAUUUUAGAGAGGGGAAUAGAGGUAGACAAAACCAAGGUUGAGGUAAUUGAGAGAUUGCUUCUAUGUAACUCUGUCAAGGUUAUUAGAAGUUUUUUUGGACAUGGAAAUUUUUAUAGAAGAUUUAUAAAAAAAAAAAUUCAAGAUAACUAAACCCCUGUGUGAUUUAUUAUCUAAAGAUGUGGCUUUUGUCCUUGAUGAUGCAUGUUUGCAAUCCUUUAAUAAGAUAAAGAAAGAACUCACAUCUAUACCUAUAAUCACUGCACUAGACUGGAACUUGUGUGAUACUUGUGAUUAUGUUGUAAGAACUGUGUUAGGACAAAGAAAAGAUAAGAGACUACAUGUUAUACAUUAUGUUAGUAAGGUCAUUAUGAUACCCAAGUAAAUCACGCUACCACUAAGAAAGAAUUAUUAGCUACUGUAUUUGCUUUUGAAAAGUUUCACUCUUAUCUUGUCGGUUUUAGAGUAAUUGUUUAUACUGACCAUUUUGUUAUUAAGUAUUUUUAUCUAAAAAGAAUGCAAAGCCAAGUUUGAUUCAUUGGAUCUUGCUUUUGUAAGAGUUCAAUUUUGAAAUUAAGGAUAAGAAGGACUUAAAAAAUUUGAUGGCUGAUCACUUGUCUAAAUUGCAACAAGUGGAUUUACACGAUAACACCCUUAUAGAGAACAAGUUCUUGGAUAAGCAUUUAUAGCCCAUCCAAAAGAUUGAGAUACCUUAGUAUGCUGAUUUCAUCAAUUAUCUUGUUUCUAAUAUUAUGCCUAGUGACUUGGCUUUUCAGCAAAAGAAGAAAUUUUUAACAAAAGUGAAGCAUUAUUUUUGGAAGGACCCUCUAUUGCUCCGACGUUGUGCUAAUGAGGUUAUGUGGAGAUAUAUACCGGAAGAAGAGAUGUGAUCAGUUCUUGAACAUUGUCAUUCUUCUCCUUACAGUGGUCAUCAUGGGCCAGAGAGAACAGUAGUAAAGGUGCUACAAUCUAGUUUCUUUUGCCCAACAUUGUUUAAAAAUGUCAGGACAUUCGUGCUAAUUUGUGACAAGUACUAAAGAAUAAGUCACAUAGAUUGUCAUCAAGAGAUGUCUCAAACAGGGAUAUUGGAGAUUGAACCAUUUGAUGGUUGGGGUCUGGACUUCAUGGGACUGUUUUCACCAUCAUAUGAGAAUCUUUAUAUUUUUUGGUCGUGGUGGACUAUGUUACCAAAUAGGUUGAAACAGUGGUCUUAUUAGAUAACAAAAAUCAAAGCGUGGUGAAAUUUGUCAAGCAGAAUAUCUUUACAUGCUUUGGAGUGCCUCGGGUUAUUCUAAGCAAUGAUAAUAGCCAAUUUUAGGCAUUAUUGGCCAUGUAUGGAGUGAAAUUUUGUACUGGAGCCACUUAUCAUCCCAAAUUGGUGGUCAAGUGGAGGUGUCUAAUUGGGAGAUAAAGCAAAUCUUAAAGAAAACGGUGAAUUCGUCUAGAAAAGAUUGGGCAAUGAAGCUUGAUAAUGCACUAUAGGUAUAUCGGACUGCAUAUAAGACUUCUUUAGGUAUGUCCCCAUAUCGACUAUUUUAUGAGAAAUCAUGUUAUUUAUCGGUUGAAUUGGUGCAUCGAGUUUAUUGGGCGGUCAAAAUUUUGACCCUAAAAGUACUGGUGUAGAACAGUUACUCUAAUUAAACGAGUUAACAAUGAGAAUCAAAGUAAGGCUGUUAUUGAUUCGAGUGAAGUUCGAGUAGUGCACUAAGCUCUACUUGAAUUAAAAUCUCGAACUCAUCUAGUUCUUCAAAGUUGAGUUUGAGCUCGAGCUCGAGCUUAUUUUACCUUACUCAAGCUCAACCAAAUUGAGUUCAAUUGAGUUCAAUCGAGUUCAGUCAUAUUUUCAAGCUCAAAAAUAAUUAAAAAUUAUAUUAUAAAUACACUACUUGAUAAGACUCGAUGAGUGCUUGAGUUUUGAUUUUUCUACUCAAAGUCAACUCGAUUACCUUAUCAAGUAGCCUAAACUCGACUAGAAUUUGACCAAUGCCAGAUUCGAUUGAGCCUUUGAGGAACUACUCAUGAGUCUAAGUCGAGUAGAUUGUUUAAUUUACACCCUCAAACCAAAGGGUAAUGAAAUCCAUACAUUAUGUUUGGUAUACCUCUAUGGGAUUGGUCAUUACCCACUUUUGGGUCUUUCAAUCCCAUAGAUUGAUUAGUGUAAAUUGGGAACUAUUGACCUCAUGCUCCACUUGCCCAUUUUGAAGUAAAAAUAAAUCAAAUACUUCAUCAAAUUAAACCCAGGAAGGAAGAAAAAAAGUACGACGUCCUCUCUCUCUAUCUCUCUCUCUCUUCUUUUUUCUUCUCCAUCACUAUCCAUCCUUCGCAAGCUCUUCCCCGCCCUCUUUUUCUUCCCAUGCUUACAAAUAUAGUAAUAAGUUGGAGCUAAAAGAGAUUGAGUGGCCAACUAUCCAUGGAUCUGUCAAGUUCGAACUACUUGAUAAGGUAAUCAUCAACCCAAUUACAUUGAGAAAUUUGGAUCUUUUAGGUGGAUCCUUAUUUACAAGAGAUCCACCCAAUUAUCCACAGUUGAUGAUUCAUGGAUCUACCCAUGAAUUUGGAUCUAUAUUAGAGAGUUGCUAGCUUUCUAAGAGAUGAUUUAGACAGAAAUGGUCCAAGGAAAAUUAAUUACUUUGGAUAUUAAGAAGUUAGGUUCUUGAUUCUUUGGUGAAAUAUUUGGAAUCUAACAAAGAUUUUGUUAGUGAGGGGAUCUAAUUUAAGUGCUUUUGCACUUUGUAUGUGAUGGCCUCACCUCCCCCUAGGGCGUACCCUAGGGUUUAGCGAGUCGCCUGCCCAACUCUCGCCAGAACUCACUCACUCAUAGCUCAAGAAAAAUAACGUUCAUCCAUAGAAAAUGAAUAACACAUCCACUUCAACUGAAUAUAUACAUUGAUACUCAAAUCCAGAUACAAAGCUUCUACACAUCAAAAUACUUCAAAGUGUCUACAAUUCGAGUACAAUCAACCCUAGUCGGGUACUAGCGUGAGUACAAAUUUAAAAUUCAAAACAACUAGACUACGCUAGUCUGUACACGUCUCACGCCUGGCUCGUAUCCCCUGUAAGGAAAACAAAUGACAUGGAAUGAGCUAAAAGCCCAGUGAGGUUCCAAAUAGCAAGUUGACCAUUAUUUAAAGUGCAAGUAUCAUGUAGUAAAGUAAUGAGCAUGAAAAAGUCAUAAAAGUGAGCAAUAACACUUCAAGUAGCAAAUCUCAAAACGAGCGAGUGUAAAGGUUUUCUUUUAAAAUGAAACAAUAACACGAUGAGUACUAAUCAUUCCAAAGUAUAAGGAUACAGAUGGCUCUCAGGAGCCAAAUUUCCAUUGCAUCACCAGAGCUUGAUCAAGUAAUAGUUGACACUCCGUCAACUUUCAAGGAAGUAACCAAUCCAGUAGAGCACCACUUAAACUACUCUCCGUCCACCAUCCAAACCCCCUACUGGGCCAAAAAUCCUCAAUAAACACUGGUGGUAAUACUCGAGUAUACCGAUUAGUCGAGGAGAUAUCACUCCACUCGAUAAAACAAAAGACCCAGGGUUCGUUACCCAAUCGAUCAAGCCCUUGCUGGCUCGACUCGAGUAACUCGCCACAGGGUUUCUGGAAUUCCAGGAAGUGCGCACCAUAUACACAAAUAUAUCAAAUCCAUUGCAACAAUAAACAAGUAUAUCUCAUCUUAGGGCAAGUGCGAUAAAGUACACUCUUGCCCGAUCAAACAAAUGACAUAUCAUUAAAUCACAUUGGUCAAGUAUUGAAAAUAAGUGUCCAGUUCAAUCAGGUAUUUGGAAUCACCCACCAAAGGUCUAGUGCCUCUCAAAAGUCAUGUUCAGGUCCAACUCCUUAGUUGGAGUCCAAAUCUGCGAUAAAAUAUCAUUUGCAAAUGUAAAACUCUUUAGAGUUCGAAACAUAGGAGUUUCGCUUCAAAAAAAUCAAGUAAAUGCAACUCGUUUAAGUAGUAUUCACGAUCCUUAUCAAAUACUGAACAAUUCAUGCUCGCUCUUAAACCUUUGAAACUUUGAAACAAUUAUACUUUGAAAUACCAUUUGAGUCGAAGAAAUGGAGAAAACGUAUUUCUAUUAGUCGUAAUUUCAUUUCCUAAGGGUACAAGUUCGGUCAAGUUCUAACUUAUAUACCUCGAUAAAAGAAGAUGCAAAUAUCCUAGAUGGUUCACGUGGUAUUCGUUCUUAAGCCUUACUCGAGUUGCAAAUAUAUCUAUCUAGCUCUCGAGCGUAAAUUUGGGCAGCACGCCCUUUAUAUUUACCUAUUUUUCAGUCAUUUAUGACUUCAUUCUUUUCCUCAAUCAGUCCCAAAGUCACACACAAAAUAAUCUCAUUUAAAUAGCCCUUCAAUAGGCUCAAAGUCAUACAAGUACAAAAUCAAACUCGAAAAAUGUCCAGAAAUGAAGUUUAAGUCAAAAAACAAAAGAUAGAUUUGCCGUCACUUAGCGUAACGGGCACAACCGAAGCUACGCUGAUCGGAUUGGGGUGCAAUGUAUACCAUUUCGAAGCUAAGACAAAGGUCUACAACUUUGAUGAAGACCACUCAGUCCAGUUCAUAGUGUAUCUAGGUCAAAAUUUCAAAUUACAGAACCAGAAUCUCACAUUCCGGCUAAUUAACCGCACUAUGCGUAAAUGGCAAUAACUCAGGCUACCAAAGUUCGAUUAAGGCAUUUUUAGGGCCGUUGGAAAGCUAAGACAUAGCACUACAACUUCUAUGUUUUGGCCAAAUGCUAAUUUAGUAUGGAUCAGGGUGAACAGACACGGUCAGAUUGGUACAAUGUCAAAACUGGCCACAAAGCUCUACCUAUGGCAGUUAGGGGUAUUUUUGUCUUUUCACAUGUUACAGUGCUCAAAUUGAGCUGAAAUUUUACAAGAAGUUAUAAAAUAUCAUUCUCUACAACUUUCAUGUUUUGUACUAAGCCUAAUUAAGUCUAUCUCAUGGUCAAACAGAACCGGGCAGAACAGGGCAAUUACAAAACCGAAAACUGGAAUUCAUGAAUACAAGUGCUAAUCUUCACAAUUUUAGCUUGAAACACUACUUCACCUCAUUGUCUUCACUUAUUCACAGCAUAUUCCAUCUAAACAAGAAGAAUUAUGGCUGAACAAUACAAAACCCUAAAUUACCAAUUCUCCAAAAAUCAUCACAACUACUUGCAUAGCUAUCAAUCAACCACAAAUAUGAAUUGUAUAGCAACUUAAGCAAGAAUAAAGGAACUAAAGAUGAUGGACAGCCAAUAUACCUCAAUCAAAGAGCUUGAAGAGUUAUUCUUCACCUUUCCUUAUGAAAGUUAGCUCCCUAAGCUUCCCAAGCUCUCAAUUUGCAAGUUAAUCGGUUUAGUUUUCUUGUUUUCUAACUCAAUCAAGCAAAAUCCAAGGUGGAAUUGAAGUUCUUUCUCUCCUUUUUUUCUCUCCUAGGUUCGGCCACAAGGAUGAAAAAAUGAAGAAGAAUGAAGGCUAAGGAAGGUUAUAAGGCUUGGUCAUAGCUUGGGUCAAAGGUUCUUGGAUUAGUGCCACUUGUCACCACCAAUUUCCAUCUCAAUUUUUUUCUUUUCCUUUGGUUUAAAUGGUCAAAAAUUUUGGCCAUCUUAAUCAGCUUUAGAGCUGAUAUUUAGGCUCUAAUAACAAUGAGAUUAACUUGAUAAAAAUGGUGGUCAAAUGGUGUGUUCAAUCAGUAGUGAACGGUACCCGUCGGUUCGAGCCGAUUUUUCUUAAAUCGCGUAUACUAGAGUUUUAACUUAUAAUUCACUAACUUAUUAUUAUCACUUCUAAUCACACACUUAAUAUCAUCUAAAACUCACUCUUAAUCACCAAAUUUGAUACACCCUCUGUACCAAAUAGUCACACUACGAAAAGGCGUAAAAACCCUAAUUUGCGCUAACUUGAAAACUGAAAGGAAAAAUCCUUCAUUCUAUGUUCAUUUACACUUAUUGUGGGGUGAUUGGGUAGCAGGGCCAUUAUAAAGUAAUAAUUUCCAAAUAAAAGGGAAUUUUAAGAACAAGAUAAGAGAUUUUACAAGUCCUCACAUUGUAAGCUUCAAUUGAGAUUCAAUUGGUGAAUAGAGCAGAUAGAUGGCAACUUUGCAUGUAAAAUUAGGGUUCUUCUUGCAAAUUCAUAUGGGAAAGAAGGAAAGAAGGAUAGAAAAAGAAAUAAAUAAUUAAAUAAAAGACAAAAAAGGAGCAUUCCCAUAGAUAAGCUGCUACCAAACAUCAGUAAAUAAAUACAUAAAUCUUGAAAGAAAACUCAUUAUCAUUGUAGGAGUUUAUAUAGUAAUUCUCAUUGUCAAUACCUAGUAGAAACCAAACAGGUGGCAAGUUAAAAAUCUCAAACUUUCAAGAAAGAUUUAGUGUCACAUCAUAGUAAUAUUCUACUAUACUCGGAUGACUAUAAAAAGUACACAUUUCAACUUUUCAUUGGUUUUGGCAUCACAUAAUCAUCGAACCAUUGUCAAAUUGAUGGGGGUUCACUGAGUAGUAAGUUGACCAAAGUGCAUUAGAAUUUUAAAGUGAAAAUUAAGAAAGACUAUGGCACUAGCCCAAGUCAAUUCUAGCCUUUCUUUCUAAUCUCUAUGCCUAUGUCCCACGUGCAUUCUUUUUCUAGUUAAGCUGAAAAAACUUCAAAAUUGCAAAGCAACACUCUUUCUUGGAAUGCAGAUCAAAAGAAAAACAAAAAUUGUUUGAUAGGUAUAUUAGUAAUAUUCCAUUGCAUACCAACUUCCAAGGCAUUUGAAGACAAUAGUAGCCCAACUUUUUACAAUGAGAUUAACGUUGGUGUUAUCCUUGAUAUGGGAUCAUUGACUGGGAAGGCUAUCCACAAAUUCAUUACGAUGGCUGGCUCUGAGUUUUAUGCUUCUCAUAUUCACUAUAGAACAAGGAUAGCCUUGCACAGGAAGAACUCCAGAGUAGAUCCUACGCAUGUAUAUCAACAGGUCAGCUUUGUUCCUUUUAUUUUUUCACACAUUUGCCUAUGAUACACUGAAUAUGACGCAAAGUCCACCUUAGAAAAAGUUUUGUACCAAGCAAGCUAAACAAUCCAAAAGAAAAGAAAAGAAAAAUGACUUAUUUUAAAUGAUGGUGGAAUGUCAAAAGGUCUCAGUGACGUGCGCGGGAUAUACGUAUACAAUUAGCUCAUCCACAAUCAAGUUUUAUAUUUAUAAUUCCUAAAUAUCCCAUAUGCAAUUUAUCGCAAGUAUAUGAUUCGUGAGUGAGUAUAGGGUAUUAAGGGUCGAUCCCACAGGAAAGAUUGCAAUUACCGGUGAUUUCAAAUUCAUUUAUUAUUUAGACUAUAAGCAUGAAGUAAAAGUAAUAAAAUUAACACUAAAAAGCUCCUAAAGGUAUGAAAUUCCUUACUACUCUUGCAAAUGAAGUUACCGGUUAAGUGAAUGCUAUUAUCUUGGCUAGUUAUGGCGUAAUUUCCUAAUGUAUGUGAAACCUACUCUCGCAGUGAAUCAACUAUACUUGUAGCUAAGUCAUACUUACUCUCGUGGUUAUGAAUUAACUACAAGCUCAUUCUUUCUAUGAAAUUACAUGAAACAAGUCACUUAAGCCACAUAGGUGCACCUUUACUCUCGUGAGUGUACUCUCUAGGUUUAUCACUUCCUUGAACUAGUAUUAAAUUCCAAUUCUCAUUGCAAACUUAACACCUUUAGAUAAUCAUAACUAAUGGCCGGUUAAUCAUGAUUAGAAAAGCAAAAGUGAUAAAUAAUUUUCUCAAAAUAAUAUCAUCAAAUAACUAAGUAAAUAUCACUAACAAGAUAUAGAAAAUUCAUCCAUAAUUCUAGGCAUAAACUUUAACUAAACAUGAAAAUAAGAUCCAAACUUGUAUUAUAGUUAAACAUGAAAUCAAAUACAAAAGAGAAAGUGAUAGGAGAGAUGUCACCCUUGUCACAUGAACUUCAAACUCUCCAUCUUUGCUCCUCAAUCUUCAUCCAAAUUUAACUACAAAUACAAAAUGGAUAAACUACACUAACUACUCUAUACUAUCCUAACUAAUGAACUAAGGAAAUUCUAGUGAAGACUACAUUUUUGGUAAGUUUCUCUAGCCUUCCAAAAUUUUUUAAAAUGUCUUCCAAAGGCUGCUAUUUAUAAAAGAUUCAAGAGCCAAAUGAGUUGUUUCUAGUUGUCAUUUUUGACUCUUGAAACACUCAUGAGUUGUCUUUCCAACUUUUCAACCUUUUCUUGAUCAGAUACAACCGGAAUUGAUAGUUGGAAUUGAGCUAGAAAAGUUGUGUGAAAGCAAGGCAAGUUGAUAAGCAAGUUCCAGAAAUCAGGGGAUAAUACGCAACUUGAGAAUAUGCGACUCAAGCCACGUAUUCAUGAAGUCAUGUUUUCAGUUCUGUGCCUCUUCAACUGCUAUUUUCAUGAUGAUGGAGGCCGAAAUAGCUCUUGUACAAAACAUGAACAUUGUAACUCUUUGAGCUAGCUUUCCAAUACCUUAAGAAUCAUCUAAUUUGGAGCUUUUUAGACUGAUAUAUGACCAAAAUACCAAGGACUAGUCAGAGCUCUGUUUCAGCUUUCAACAACAGAGUUUACGCUUCUGUAUUUUGACUUUUUGACAAGGAAAAAAACUGCAAUAGACUUUGAUAUUUUCAUACCAAAUGUAGAUUUGUUUCUUAGCUUCAAAAUGGUUCAAGAAUCACCUCAAUCCAAUGCUUGUAGCUCAAGAUAUAGCCAAAAUACCACAAGGUGUCAAAGCUGUCUUCCAUUGCAUUUCUUCCUUUGAAUGUUUUGCACUUCAUGUCUUCUCUAAACCUCUUCAAAUCAUCAAUAAUCAUCCAAUUCUCUUCUCCAAUCAUUCCAUUAUAUGUUUGAAUCAUUAAACCUACAAAACAUGAAGUUUUUACCAUUAAAAUCCAUAGAAAUGCAAUUUUUCACAUUUAAACCACAAAAUGCAUAUUUUCACUAAAAUCCUAGUUCAUUAGCUAUAAAAGUAACUAAAACACACCAAAACUAAAUAAUAAAACACACUAAAAACACGUAAAAUAUAUACUUGUCACUCAGCAUAAGUUAGUCUUUUUAUAGAGAUAGAGAAUCCCAAGUCUAUUUUUGCUUGAAGGUAGACUAUGGGCAUGCCCCUUCUCUUGUGCACUUUGGUCUGCAUAUUUUUAACAAAGAAAUGUCUAUUAAUAUUUAACCCAUGUGUCAAGGUGAUCCCUACUAUUUCAACUAUGAAAUUUGGUGCUCAAAGUUUCUAAUUUUGUAUAAACUAUGAAUUUCUGAUGAAAUUUCAAUAAUUCUAAUUAAUAAGCGAUGUUGUCAAAGCAAUACUCUUCCUGCUAGAGCAUCUUUUUUCUUCAAAUGUCAAGAUUACUCUCAAUCAAUUAAUUCCAUAUAUGUUAUUGAUUUUUCUUAGGCCCAUUAUGUAUUAAUUGCUUCUCUUUUCUCUCUCUAAUUAAGUAAUUUUGUUAGUAUAAAUUGGAGUUUUGGUCCCCAAUCUAUAAUCCAUGCACAAAUCGAGUCCCCAAUCUAUUUGUAAAAGCAAAUGUGGUCCCCAACCUAUCCAAUUUUGUGCGAAAUUGGGCAAUUGAUAGAUUUCGUUCAAUUUCCUAACUGAAUAAUGGCACAUGCAAUUAUGUGACUUCACUUAAUAGCUUUUGCUCCUUUUUUUAGUCAAAAAAUCAGUCCAAACUUAACUAUUUUGUUUGCUUUUGACCUCUUGCUAAUUAAACACACUAAAAUACACUUAUAUUUGAAAAAAAAAGAUUAGUUGAUAAACCCAAAAAAAUGAGAAUAGAGCACCAUUGUAGCCAAACUCUCCCUCAAGGAAAAACCCCUACCCUAUGACUGAAGCAAAAAAACCCAAUACUUCUUCAUAAAAAUGGGUUCCUUGUUCCUUGUUUCUUUUAAUCUAGCAUUUGUAGGGGUUAUGGUUUUCUAUUUCUUAAUAAGGGUAAAAAAUUUGUACCCGUUGCAGAAAGAAUUCAACUCAGGGGUCUAGAAAAAUUUUGAUGGUAUAGUAACCAGCAAUAAUGAUUACAUCGUGGACAACUAACAACUCAGGGGAAAGGUACUUCUCUUGUGGCUUCAAGGUAUGGAUUAUUUCUCUGUUCUUUUGGUUAUGAAGGUUAAUUUUGUAUCUAGCGUCCCUUUAAUUUUCUUUGUUUUGUUGAUUGAAAAGAGUGGCAGAGGUAAUGGUAAAGGCUACAACCUUUUUGAGUGGCAUGAUUCAAUCAUGUGCUAAAGAUCUAUUGCCCUAAUUCCGGGUCUACUAAGAAGCAUGAACAAUAAGGACAUAUCCAUUGAAAGGCCGAGAGCAAGGGAACAAAAAUUGGUGUUUGCAAUUGUGGUAUUUUCCCUAUUGUUACUGAUUAUUUUGCUGGUGUAGAGACAUAGUGAGGUAUGAAGGAAGAAAGAAAGAAGAAAUGUUGGCCAAGUUAUUGAUGUACUGUUGUAUGGUAGUAGGCUAAGUUAUGGUUGAUAAAUGAAUUCAUUCACAAUUUUGAGUUUUUAUUUGAGGUGGAUGAAUGUGCAUGAUGUCCCUAUUUGUAUAAUGUAAUAGAAAGACAUUGUGAGGUAUGAAGGAAGAAAGAAAGAAGAAAUGUUGGCCAAGUUAUUGAUGUAUUGUUGUAUGGUAGUAGGCUAAGUUAUGGUCGAUAAAUGGAUUCAUUCACAAUUUUGAGUUCUUAUUUGAUGUGGAUGAAUGUGUAUGAUGUCCCUGUUGUAUAAUGUAAUAGAAGGCUGACAUGUUUUGUACUUAUUAAUGAAUGUGAGAAUAUAUUCUGAUAUAGAAAUCACUUUAAGUUGGUUGAUUUUCUUCAGUGAAAUCAGUGUUAAUAAUUUGUUUUUGUUGUUAUCAACAUCAAAUUGCAAUGGUCAAGACUUGUCGGAACAAAUGCUAGAGCAGAACACUAGCAAACUGAACUAAUUGUCCAAUUCAAAUAAACUUCGAUAGAGCAAACUAAUGUAUUGAUGCGAAGAAUUCAUUAUAAAUCAAACAUGUACAUUGAUUUCCAGAAUCCAUUACCCUUCGUAGUCAAAUAAUAUACCAGUUCUACCCAAAUUUACAAGCUUUAAAAAAUGAAACAAUCCUACCCAGAUUAUUUGUUCCAGCACUACAAUAUCAAAACACAAUUAUCAGGGACAAAAAGGUUUCAAUGGCCAAACAUUUGUUCCAACACUACAAUAGUUAACAUUAGAGUGUUUCAUGAAUGUGUCUUUCAGCUGCAACCACUAGUACUUGGAAGUAGGCCGGUCAAUCGGGCCUAAUGAGCCGGGCUUUCAUAAGAUCAAACUCAGCUCAUUUAAUUUGGAACAUUUUCGGGUUUCGGGCUAUGAGUUUCGGGUUCAUAAAUGUGAAGUUCAUGCUCAACUCACAUAAUAUUCGGGUUGUGAGCCUUAAUCGGGCUUAAUCCAAGCUUACUUAUUACUCCUUAAUUUUCUUCAUAUAAUUACUAUAACUAUUAAGUUGUAAACCUAAUUUAACAUUUACAAAACUACAAUAUUAAAACUAAACAUGAACAAAUAAUAGUUCUUAACAAGUAUAUAAACCAAAACUUUUUCAACAAUAUUUAUAUUUAAUUCAUUCAAAAUGCAUGAAAAAUAGUAAUAAAACAUGCGAUCAUAAACCAAUACAUCUUUAAAAGUUGAAACUUUUUUUAUAAUCGUGUGAUUUGAAUCCAAACAUGCUUGAUGAUUUGUGUUUGUAAAUCAAAAAGAAAUCAACCAAUAUUAUGCCAACACAAAAAUUUAUUCAACCAAUAAGAAAAGUUUAGAGAUUCAGUUAUGCAUCACUAAUAUUGGCUCUCAAGAAAGCUCAUGGAAGAGUCUUUAGAUGUAUUUUUAUAUUUUGUAAUAUAUAUAUAUUUAGUAUUUAAUAGUAAUAUAUUUGGAUAUAUAAUUAUACAUAAUAUCAAAAUAUAAAUAUUAUAUAUAUAUUGUAGACACCAAAUUUUUGGUGUUUUAUUAUUUAUUUAUUUAUUUACUAUUCGUUUUUAUUUGUUCUAUUUUUAAUUGUCACAUUUAGUUUAUUUACUUUUAGUUUUAGUCAUUUUAGCCAUUUUAGCUAGAAUUUCUCAAAGGAAAAAGAAAAGUGUUCCAAAAAAAUAUGUUUUAUGUCUUUUAAAAUCAAUCUUUUAGCAUCUUACUUAUUUUUGUUAAGUUAUUUUGAAAAAAAAAAAGAAAAAAAAAAAAGGGGCUUCGUGACAUGCAAGCUGCGUAUUUGCGCAGCUUGCAAGAAAGGGCUCGGGCAGCCCUUUGGCUGCAAUUUUUAGAGGAAGAGGGCUGGUUUUCCAGGUGGCCAGACACCUGGCUAAUGGAGGAAGCUUCUAUGCAAGGUGUAGGGAUUAAAAUGAAAAGAAAGAGAAGCAGCAAAGGGGGGCCGUAGGAUGAAGGGUUUGGUGGAAGGGGUUUGGCAUUUUUUACGGCAGCCGCAAGAGAGAAGGGACUCACGGCUAGGCCUGAGGAGCGAUAGAAAGUGAAAAAAAAGAGGAAAAACUAGCUACGGGAGUGAAGGAGAGGGAGCCGAGAGCGAACAAGAGCAAGAGUGAGGGAUCAUCGGGGAGGUUGAGAAGGCAACAAAAGAAAGAAAAAAGAGAGAGCUUUGACGGUUGGAGGCUGAGACGAAAGAAACGAGGGAGAACUAGAGAGAGGCGGCUGGAAAAAGGGGAGAGUUUCGUGAGGCAAGGGAGCUUCGUCUGGGGGGCGGCGCAGCAAGGAGGAGGAAGAACGGAAGGGAAAGCAAAACCCAAACAGAAAAGGGAGAGGAUACGGCUGAAAGAGAAAAGGAGCAGCAACCAAAGCAGAGAGGAGGAGGGAUUGCCGGAACUUUCUUCAUCGGCUGUCUUUGUUCUUUCACAGACUACACUAGCUUCUAUCCGUCUUUCAAGGUAUAUUUCCAAGCUAUCCAUCAAAGCUAUGUUUUAGAUUUUUACCUGAAGUCAGGAUUGCUUUUCUUGCUUCCGUUGUCAAGGAUUUUAUGGGAAAGGCUAGAUUUUUUCCGUUGAUCAAAACCUCUUAGCAGCAAUCUUGAUAAAAAUUUGAUCUUUCGGGCUACUAAACCAUUUUUAUGUGAAUGUAUUGUUCAGAAUUUCUCUGUUGCAAUCAGUUCUUUCAUUGUUGUUUGUUUAUUUGGAACUUUAAAGAUAAGCAGCUUGUUGUUUGGUUACCCGAAUCUGGUUUGCUUGAUGAAAUGGAAAGCCGCGGCUGGGUAAAAUUGCAGAAAAACUGGCGGCACUUUGUUUCUCUCUUCCUAUCGUUGUUUUUGCUGUUUACUUUCAUGUUUUGUUGGUUAGUUUCAUUUUUCUGUUUUCGAUCCUGCUACAAAGUUGCGUGUUUAGUUGAUGAUGGAUAGGUAGAAUUCUGGUUCCUUGUUGGAUCUGUUUGCAUGAUAAACUAGAAAUUCUGGACACAAGUCGCGGCUGAAAAUUGCAGCAAAGCUUCUGAUUUUCCAGAUUUGCGUGAUAGCUUUCUUGAGUUUUUUGUUUCCUUGUUUGGGCUUGCGGUUUGGCUAGCUGUUGUUUAAUCUAAAGCCUUUGAUGCUUGGUUAAAAAUCCUGAUUCAUUAUGGGUUGCCGAAAGCUUCCUAGCUUUGCAGAAAUUCUUGCGGCAUGCUGUCUUGUUGUUUUUCUUUAUCUUGGGCGGUCAUCAACUCAGAUUUGCCAUCUUAAUCCUGCAAACAAAAUUUCAUGUUUUGAUUUGGGUCAAUAAUUUCUGGUUUGAUGAACUUGUUUGUAUGAUGAAAUGGAUGUAAUUGUUGCUGGAAUUUGCUGCAAGUUUGAGAAAAGGCAACAGGUUUUUGUAGUUGCAGAAAAUUCUGUUUCUUACGUAGCUGCAUUUUGUUUCUCAUGUCCGUGGUUUUCUGGGUUCUAUAACAGCUUGGAAGUCAAGUCUUCCUCCUAUUAAAACCUUUUGUUUCGGCCGCAUGCAGUUGCUGAAGCUCCCAAAGCUUCAGCUGGCUACUGAAAGCCUUCUCUUUUGCUGCAGAAAUGUUUCAUACGCCUUGCAGGAAGUUGUUUGGACUGUCCAAAAUUGCAUGCUGUCUUGCUAAGUUUUCUGUUUAUUCGAGUGAAGUUGGUUGCUUAGUUUGAAUUGAUGAUGUUGGUUUGGAAACAUCUAAUCAAAGCUGUGAUAAAAAUCUGAAUUGGUAAGACAGUUGCAGCAAGCUUCAUUCGUUGUUGCUAAAAGUCUUUUUGUUGCUGGAAUGAUUUUCAGUUUGUUGUACCAGAUUUGCAUAGAAAUCAUCUUCGUUUUGGCUCUUGCAUGUAUGAUGAGUUUGGUAGGAACUUGAAGUUGGAUUUUGGUUUGAGAGUUUUGUUUUGUUUUCUUAGAAAAUCUGUCAUGCAAAGUUGUGAAGGCUUCAAAGCCUAAGAAAAUAUUUGCAGAAUGCUCUUUCACGUUGGUUUGCAUGCAUUUGCAUGAAUAAUUUCCAGAAAAUUUGCACUCUGACCCCCCAAGUCCCCUUUGUUUCACUAUGACCCAACCAAUUGAAUAAUUUCCUCAAUUUGGUCCUUGACAAUUUUAAUUCUACAACUUCAUUGCUUGUUUGUUUUAAUUAAUUACCAUGCUUUGUUUCAGUUGCAUUUAAUUCAUGACUUUAGGGGCUUUAUGACCAAGUGAGCUUGUGUUUGCCUAUUUUCUUUAAUUUUCCCAAAUAAAUUGGUACCUUGACCAUUUCUUUUAUUUUGGAGGAUAAAUGAGUGAUUUCACUUCAUUGGGGCCCAAUUGCAAGGGAGGUAACCUCUAUCUCCUUGAUUUUCAUUUCUCCUAUGUGAUCCAACGUGCUAAGUGUGAAUUGCAUGUCUACGUUGCUUUCCUUGCCUUUCUUUAAUUCCUUUCAUUUAUUUCAUUUACUUUUGCCUUUUAUUUAAGUAUUUCAUUAUGGGGUAUGUGUACACCUCUUGGCUUGUAAUAGAUAGGGCUUGGAUGAGCAUUCGAUGAAGACCUGUUGAAGACAUGUGCCUAGCUAGCAAAUGUAAUAGUUAGGGCUUCAAUUGCUUUAUGUGUCUUGCAUGCUUAGUUGCUAUGUGUUAAUUUGCUUUAUUAGGUUCUUGCAUCUAGUCGAGCAUGCUAAUUGUUAUGUGCUAUGUGUUUAUGGGUGUUUGGCAUGUCUAAUCGCUUUCCAUAGCCAUGAAUGAAUGUGAUGGAUGAAUGUACGUCACCACACUAGUCCAAUGCUAGUUGUGGCUCAUUAUUUCAUUAGGAAUUCAUAGAAACGGCUAGACCCAAUAGGCCAUCCCCUUUUGUUAGUGCAUAUUUGCAUGUUCACUACAUGUCAUGCAUUUUUCUUAGUUUUAUCAUUGGCAUGCUCCUCGAACCCCUUUUUUCCCUCAUUUUUAGGUUUUGCAUCUCAUACUAGUUAUAGGGCUCAUUUGCUUGAGAGUCCCCUUUCGAUAAGGGAAACGAGCGAGUGUGGCUACUCGAUAGCCUUAGCACGCUAGUUUUGCCUUCUAAUCAAAGGGAAUAUUAAGUCACAAAGUUAGGACUCCCCGUUCCCGUCUUGAUGCAUUCCUAUAGGAUUCAUGCAUUCUAUUCAUUCACUAUCACAUACACUUACUUUAUAUUCUAACCCUUUUUCCACAUUCUCACUUCACACUACUUUCACACUACUUUCUACAUUCUCUCUUCACACAUACACCUUAUGGCAUUUUUCACCUUAUUAUUCUUUACUUACUUUACCUUGCAAAGACAUUUGCACACCUCCACUUAUAUCUUAUUACUUUUAUCAUUUUUCUCACUUCACACAAACUCACACUUUCACAUGGCAUGCAUUCCACUCAUUUUACGUCAUUUAGGAUUACGUGUGACUUCUCCAAAGGAUCAUUAUUGGGCUUCACAAUUAAUGUGAUUGGCACCGCUCAACCUUUGAAGAGAAAUUUCCCCCAUGUCCCCCUAGGUCUAGGUUUUUGCAUUCAUAUAGACAUAUCCAACACGCGAUACAUACCUUGGGUAGAAAAAUUAGGAAAAAUUGGUUUAAGUCACGCAACUAGCCUUGGCUAGGUCGAAGGGGUGCCUUGGAUUUUUAUCCUUGCCUUCCCCUUCGUCAAAUGUGACCCCCGAUCCCUCUUUUUGGUUACGUAGACCCAAAAGUUCUUUAAAAGGGUUUAUUUACUUUUUUAUUCAAAAACAAAAAACCAUUUUUUGGGUGACUUGGUACACCCUAACCCUAUACCAAGUGGCGACUCCAUUUUUUAUACAAAAAACCCUUUUUGAACUUUAUAUGGCCAAACCGUCGCAUUAUCAAGUCCCAUGGCCUUUUACUUUUCAUUUACACACGUUCACAUUCCAUUACACCACUCACAUCUCACACCACACACACACCACACUCAUCAUAUCAAAAAGUGGGGCGCGACAUAUAUAGAUAAUUAAAUGGUCGGGCCUAUAUCGGGUUUGAGCCUAAUAGGGCCCAAGCUCGAAUCAUAUUUAAUUCGGGCUUAAUUUUUAGGCUCAAAUUCAGAUCGGCUCACUAAAAUGUCGGGCUCAUCGGAUUUUUUGUCCGGCCGAACGAGCCGAGCUUGGGUUGGCCCUACCCCAUUGAUAGUCCUACUUGGAAGUCUAAGAUGGACAUGAAUAUCUCUAAUAUGAAAAAGAACAUCAGUUGAUGGAGGUGACUGGCUACUAUGUGCCAUAUUAGCAUGCUGAAGACCAAAAAUCUCUCUCAAAUUUGGUUCAGCAAAAGGUGCAGAGGAUAUUAUGUUAUCCUGAAUAUCAAUAGGAGCAUUUUGGGAGGAGUUUGCUCUCCUUUCAUGUCUUCUCUUGUCAUUUCCCUAUAAGAACUAAUAAUAGUUUAGUAUGUAACAACGUAAUGUAAGUGUAGCAAAUAAUUCACAAAAUAAGUAAGAAUAAUUAUUGAACAAACAACUACUGUCUUGGUUGAUUUUCUGGCAAUUUUCUUUGAAUUUGAACUAAUGGCUAUGGCCUAAAAUUACAAAUAUCAGCCAUAAGCAUUACUAGAAAUACACAAUUAUGAAUUGGUAAUAUACUGACAGUUCUCAAUUAGGCUAGCAACACCCACUUGUGACUACACUCCGUUAAAAUCUACAUCAAAUAGUCCACCUAAAAUUUGCAAAAGACUUGCAUCCUAACUUGGUUGAGUGCCUUGGAUGAUUCCCUUUUGCGUGUCACUCAUAAUUGUCCACUCAUAGUCACUUUCAAUCUACAAAUCCUCUCUUAACAGUGGUAGAAACCAAAUCCAAGAAUCAUUGAUUUCUCCCACUGUGGCUGCAUAAGCAAUUGGAUAUAAUCCAUUAUUAGAAUCAACUCUAACUACUGUUAGGAGUAAACCACCAGGUGGACCCUUUAGAAAGGUUCCAUUUAAACCAAACAAAGGCCUACAAGUCUUUAAGACUCCCUAUUUCACCCCUGCCUAACACAUAUACAAUCUUUGAAAUUAUUCUUGCUUUGUGACUACAUCAUGACAGUCAUUUACCAUCUUCAUGAUAACAGUGUGGACUCGAUAGCUUCUGUUAAUUUCAUUGAUAUACCUAGGCAAUUUGUUGUACUGGUCCAUCUCACUACCAUUGGCUAUGUGACUUGCAAUUUUCUUUACUCUAUACUGUUGAUGCCUACUCAAAUGACACUUAUUCUCCUUCAUUACUAGAUUUUUGAAACUUGGAUAAUCUAGCAUGGGGUUCUCUCUAAAUGUUUCAGCAUGUCUUCUUCCUAAUCACUCAAAUUUAACACUUUCGUUGUGAUAUGAAAAAUCACACCUAUGUAUUCCUUGGAAUGUUCUAAUUUCUAAAGUACCUAUUCCUUUCAUCUUCCUAGCAUAUAUGCACCAAUCACAACCCUUAAUAGGGCAUUUAAAUCUAACUCUAAUCGUGUCACUCUUUAUGAAUUUCCAUGUCACUCUAAAGGUUUAUUUAAGCUAAAGUUUUGAAUUAUUCAUAUCCUUAGGAUCAAACAUAGGGGGUCUACUAUACUCUUCCUUAUUUAACCCUUGCAGGCUUUUUACAUCAAAACCUGAAUCUAAUAUUAUAUCUAUUUCGGAAUUGUCAACAUCAAAAUUAGAAUCACCAGCCCCUUUUCUCCUAUUCUGUUAUUUUGCUUUCUAUUUUUCAGCUCUAUUCGACUUGCUCCUCUCUAAUUUUGUCCCUCUCCAUCCAUUCUAAAUUUUGAUCAACAUUUUCUUCAUAGUCAUCAUCAUCAGAGUUUUGAUCAUAAUCAGAGUCUUUUUCUAAAACUCUCCACUGUCACUACUUGAACCACCUUUAUAGUCAUCAUUAGAUUCAUCAUCUUCCUCUUCUAGAACAAAGUCGUCAUCAUCCAUAACAGAACCCCACUAUAAGUCUAUUAGUUUCAUAAAGCAAACCUCUAUGCAUAGAUCAAUUAACCUACCAUAAUAAAAAUGGUCUUCACAAUAGGCAUGCAAUUCUCUAUCAUAUUGAAGCAAUCAAAACCCACACUCUUCUGUCAAAAUAUGGUACUUUUUUUCACUAUAAGCCCCAAUUUGACUUUCCAACAUCCUAUCCAUCUCAAAUAGACUAAUUCCUAUAACUUCUAUGUGGCCAAAUACCUUGACUUCACCUCGCUCAUAAUGAACACCAGGUUCUCCUUCACACUUACCCCACAGAUGAUACCUUUUAGUAAUUUCUAUGUAGUCACUUUUUGAGAUGCAGUAAAAAAUAAAGCACAAAACAAGAAAACAUGGAAGAAUCCAAAUCAAAAGAUAUAAUUAAUUGCAAUCAAUUAACUAAAUCUUUAUCAAAUAUUAUCUUUAUCAUACAAAACUGAGACAAUGAUAAAAACUACACUUAAGUAUGUCCACCUGCAAGAAAGAGAGGCAAAGAGGACGACAUCAGAUUUUUGAAUAUUUAUAUGUAGAAUUUUUUAAAGGUUAUGCCCAUAAUUGAGACAACUUUUAUGCCUUCCAACGUACAAACAUCAUCUUUUUAACUAUAAUAUAAUAAUAAAAUCAGUAUUUACACAUUAUUAAAAGAGGAUUAAGUUAAAAGUUGUACCAUAGUUCGGAGAAAGGGCCCUGUUCAAUUCUUUAGGCCUCAUUGAUAUUUCUCCUUUGCAGCUCCACUCGGCCAACAACCUCAACAAGAUCUUCAAGGGUUUUUUGUUUGAUUUGCAUCAAUAUCCUCUCUAUUUGGAUCAUUGGAUUUCUCUCUUAUUUGUGAGGAAAGUGAUAGUUUCUCAUUUUCCCUCUUUUUCUUUAGUGUGUUUAAUUAGCAAGAGGUAAAUAGCUAACAAAAUAGUUAAGUUUUGGACUAGUUUUCCAAUUAAUAAAGGAGAAAAAGCUAUUUUGUGAAGUCACAUGACUGCACAUGCCAUGAUUCAAUUAGGAAAUUGAACAAAUCUAUCAAUUGCACAAUUGUACACAAAUUUGGAUAGAUUGUGGGCUGCAUUUGCUUUUACAAAUAGACUAGCUACUCGAUUCGCGCAUGGAUCAUAGACUGAGGGCCAAAACUCCAAUUUGUCCAUUUUGUUAGGGUCUCUCACUAUCCACCCUAUUAUUCCCACCUUUGCUCUUUCUCUCACAUACAUUAAUUGAUUUAUUAUUUUUAUUGUUAACUAACUUUUUCUACCUUAAUAUUUUCUUAUAUAUUAAUUCUUGUCUCAACUCAUUCUUGCAUUUUUACUCAAUUCAUGGACUUUUAUUUAAAAAAGAUUUUUUUGGCAAAUACAAUGUGAUUUAGUUCCAACAAAUUUUGGUUUAAAUUAAUUACAAUUACGAUGUCAUUGUAACUCAAUGCUUUAGUAUAUUUAAAAAUUCUUUUAACAUCCAACAUACUUUUUCCUUUGAAUUCUAUUUAUUUAUCAUGCCUUUGAGCGGUUCAUACAGUAAAAAGUUUUAUCAACUUUUCCUCUUUUAUACUUGUCAUGUAAGUCUUGAUUUCAAUCAAGUAUUCAUAUUUGUCUUGUACGUUUUAACAUCUAUUAGGUAUUCAUAUUUUCUAAUACUUAUGAAGUUUAAUUUACUUUAUAUUGUAAUGAAUAUUAAAGAUGAAGCAACACCUUUUUUAGAUUAUUUUGAUAUUAAAGUAUUUUUUAGUUGAAUUAUGUUGUAUUUGAAAAAAAAAUAACAUUUUUAAGUAGCACUUUGAAAUAAAAAAAUAUAGGAGCAUGUUGAAGCAAAAGAAUUAGUAUAUGAAAAUAAUAUUAAAACCAAAACCAAGUUACUAAAUCAUGAAAUAAUUGAUGAAUUAAUGUGUGAGAGAGGAGGAGAGAGAGAGAGAGAGAGAGUAAAAGAGUAGAAAAAUUAAUUGAAGAGAGAAAAAGAGGAGUAAUUAGUAUGUGAGAACCCUCAUUUUUAAAAUACAAUUUCCCCAAACUACAUGCCUUGCACCAAGAUUUAAACCACCUCUUAUAUGCCCUAGCAUUAUAUUUUACAAUGUGUUACAACAAAUCCCUUGUAUUGACCCUCACUUAAAACACAAUUUUCUUAUUCACAUGCCUUAUUAUAAGAUCUAGACUAUUUAAUAUAUGCCCUUACAAAUUAUUUUCUAUGUGUUAUAAUAAUUUCCAUGCAUUUCAUUUCAAUUCAUUUUACUUGAAGUAAAAUAUUUCCUUGAGCUAGCUUGUAACUAAUUCACCACUUGUGAUUGUCCAAGUGUUCUUUUAUUAGUGGUUGGAACUUUACAUGUAGGAUUAGAGGUGUUAAAUAUGUAUUGGUACAUUUGGAAAGGUUAGUAUGUCAUUAGUCAAAGAUUGAGAAAGGAUUGGACAAGGAUGGAGCCAAGUGGCAAAACCCUAGUCAUGGAUCUUGUUUAACCAAGGGAUUAGGAAGAAUUUAAACCAAAAUUGGCCCUUUUAUUUCCUCCUUGUGGCUGACUUUCAUGAAGCUUAGAGAGGAAGAGAGAAACUCCAUUUUCCUUGCUUUCUAACCCUAGUAAAUCAAGAGCAAAAAUCAAAAGGGAAAGAUCUUGAGUGGAUUGAGAAACUUCCCUUUCAUUCCUAGUGGUUGAUCCAAGCUUGAAGUUUCCAUCUUGGUGGAUUGUUUGGUGACCUAAGCAACUUGUAGGAGAGGUAAAUGACCUUUAAAUUUGGGGGUUAUAAUGUUAUAUCAUCUACUUUAAGUUUUCAUGGUGAAAUACUAGUGGUUUUGGUUGAGAUUUGGGGUUAAUUCCUUGAAUUAAACAAGUAGUAGUUAAGCUUGUUAGUAUGCCUACCAAGUGUUUGAUGAAAUGCCUAGCCCUUGUUCAUGUGUGUGUAUGAGGUAUUAACAUGUUUUUGAACCCCUUUUUAGUAGAUCUAAUACUCGUUAUGUGAUUGGAGUACAAACCAUGAAAGGUUGAAAGUUAGAAAAGUUGGGGAGAGGCUGUCCGAAAAUUUCAAGGGCUUGCUGCCCUGUUUUGCUUUGAUAAUUUCGUGCUUAAUUUGGCUACAAGUGUGAGGGAUAUAUGUUGGGUUAUGUGUGUGGAGGUUGUCUACAAAAAAUUAGCCAAUUUGUUUGGAUAAAUCUUGAGUUAUGAGCAACAAGGCAAAACUGGACUAGGUCCAGGAAUUUUCUGACCAGUGAUAUUGUGAAGGUCAUAACGUUUUACUCAAUGAUUGGAAUUGAGUGCCAUUUGUGGCAUUUGAAAGUAGACUCUUAGAGCUUUAAAAUGGUACCAAGCUCAUUUUCUGGUUCAUCCCGAGUGAUUCGUGGCGAGUCUUGAAAGUUGGCUGCCCGGUUGUUACUGUUCAUCCGAGACUGUCCAGAAAAUUCAUUUGGUUGCUUAAUUUUGAACCACUUACGUUUGGAUUUUGGAAAUGGUUUCUACUACACAAAUAUAGCCUUGUGAACCUAGUUUCUAACGGCACCGACAGAACCUAAUUCUGACUUUUCUACAGUGAAUUAUAACCAUUUUCCCGAGACUGCCAGGCAAGACUGUUUAAUCCGAAUAAGGAACUUUCAAGUCUAAAUGAAACAUUUCUUUUGCCAAGCUUUCAUGUACACACUAAACUUAUUUUCUCAUGAACUUUUACCAUGUUAUGGACCUUAUUGCAUGCCGAAUUAAGUAGCCUAGACUACCCACUCGGUUUCUUAAUGAACCUAUAUUUUAGUAAGGAACGAAUCCAAUUGUUAAUGAUUUCACUCGUUGACCUAGGUUUGGGAAACGAAGGCGAUCGUAAUUGAGACGUUUGACGUUGAUUACUACUUUUGCUUGACAGGUGAGUGUUCCACUACCUGCUACCUGUUAUCUGAAUAUUUGAAAUACUUGAUUUAUGACUGUUGGAGCCAAAUACUGUUUUGAUAAAAUGGAGGCGAGCGUGUAUUUUAUCGCACUCGACCUUACUUGUUUUCCAAUGAGGCUCUGUAUACUGUUAUUAUAAGAUGUGAUUUCUCUAUAUAUGACUGUGUUUAACUUGUUUGGGUGAUAUCCCAUCAACUACUGCUACUGUUUAGGUACCCAACCUCUUAGGUGAGUCGGUUGUAUCGAGCCAGUAAGGGCUUGGUCGAAAAGGCCGAUAAACCUUGGAGACUGAUGUUUGGAGGUCCCUGGUGAAGUAUAGUCGUUGUGCUUGCUUGUUGUGUUGCCCAGCACCACCAGUGGUAAAAUCCUCGACUUGAUCCUGUUUCUUUGGAAUCUUGAAUUCCUGGUAUACUCGAGUAUUACCAAACUACUGUUAUGGAGUGCGGGCCCGGUAGGGGGUUGUUUGGUGGAUGGAGACUGGUGAAAGUGGUGUUCUACGGACCCUUUUAUACUGUGCAUACAAGUGUUGACGGAGUGUCAACAAGAGGCAAUUAUGAUCAAGCUCAAGUGAAUCUUUGGCUUUUGAAAGCCACCUGUAUCCUUGAAUUGAACUGUGAUUAAUUGUUAAUCUACUAUACGGUGUUUAUUGGAUUAUUUUGUGACCUUAGGUGACUAUGUGUUUACUUGUUUUACUUGGAACCUCACUGGACUUUAGCUCACCCCAUUCCUUUUGUUUUCCUUAACAGAUCGGGGAUGGAUUGAUCAAGAGCUUUCUUAGCUUUAUUUUGUUUUGAACUUGUAUUUUGAGAUUGUAACCUUUUGUUUAGGGAGACCUUACUUUUGACUUCCGUAAGCUUGAAUCUAUAAGUUCGACUUAUGUUAUGUAAGUUAUGUGGGGAGUGAUAAGUUGACAUUUAAUUAUGUGUAUGCUAAGCUUUCAAAUUGUUGGUGUAGUGUUUAUGUUUAAUUGGGGUUACACUCCCGUGAAUGGAAGAUAUCUCAUUCGCUUCAUUUGAGUUAUUAGUACUUUGAUCGACUGAGUCCCGGCGAGAGUUGGGCAGGUAGUCCGCUGAUACCCUAGGGUUCGCCCUAGGGAGGGGUGGGGCUGUCACAUAGUUCUUAAUGGAGCUAGGAAAAUCAAGGAGAAUAUAUAGAGUUGACUAGUUAAGGAUAAUGAUAUGGAUGAGGAACGAGCAAAAUUAGUUGAAAUGUUUGUUCAUGGAGGGGGUAGAAGACUUCGCAUCGUAAGCCAUAGGCAUGUCUUUUGACUGAACUCAAAAACAUUGUGACCAGAAGACUUGUGUCAGAUAAAAUGCGAGCACGUUAAAAUAGCUGCUUGCUAGUCCACAGAGUUCGAGGAUUUGUAUCGUGAUUUUUAGAAUUUUUGUAAUUUACCCGCUUUAAUUAGUUAUUGUUUGGCUUUAAACUAAGUUAUUUAUUUAGUUGUUUUCUUAGUCAAUAAAAAGGCCAAUGCGUGUUAAAUCUUUGAGUUUAAUGGGCUACUUAUUGAGUCAAGUUUGUUUGAUUAUUAGGUCCGAUCCAUAGAAUUUAGUCUAGAAAUUUGUCUCUUUUAAAUAGUGUUGUAUGGAAUAUGGUUAUUCAGUUGAGUGAUUUUAUGACACUGAACUUUUGAGGUUUUCUACAAGCUAGAGUGGAAACUCUUGUCUUUCAUAUCUUUAUUCACUUUGAGUGUGUUCUUGAGUGAAUUGAAUGUCAUAUCAAUUUGGUAUUCACCCAAGUUGUGGUUGGCCCGCCAAAAUUUCAUUCAAACAUGUCCCCUUAAGAACUAGGGCUUUCCCAUAGGAUUGCAGAUUUUUCUCAUACUAAGGGAAUUUGCAUCAGUUGGCAUUAGAAGUUUGGCUCAAAGUGACAGGUUAUAUCCCUUAUAAUUUCUUGGUUUUCCCUUUAAUCAUUUCUUUUUAAAAAAAUUCAUGAAUUAGAGUUUAGCUGCUUUUAGGGUUUUAAAUCUUCCAUUUGUAUUGUUCUUGUGUGUUUCCUCAUUAUUUCUUGUGUUCUUCAUUGUUGUGAUUGUGUUAAUUUCGUGGCUACCUUUUCUUGUUGAUUUAAAGAAAAAAAAGAGUAUUGUAGCAAUUACUAAAGCAUUGCUAUAGUGACUUUGUAGCACUACUAUAGUGAUUACUGUAGCGUUAUUGCUUCUGUGUUACUAUUCCUGCAUAUUAUUUAUCGCAUUAUUCAUCCCAAACUAUUGUUCAUUCAAAAAAAUUGUGUUUGUUGCUUUAUUCAUGUGAAUCUUAAUCGUAGUUGAAUCUUACAAAUUUUGUGACUAUUUUUGUUUCUUUCAUAAUCCUAAUUGUCGCACACCAUUUUUGAAAAUAAAAGAAAAAAGUGUUAGAAAAUGAGUUUUCGAAUAAAAUUUAAUAUAUAUUUAAAAAAAAUGAGUUUUUGAUUUUAGAAAAUAAAGAAAAAGGACUUAAAAUGGGAUUUUAAAUAAUGUGAUGAUUUGGCCCCAAAAUAUUAGUCUAAAAAGGAAUUUUAGAGUAAGAGAAUCACCACUUGGUAUUGAAUUUAGGUGUAUUAAGUCACCCAAAAUAUAUUUUAAAUGAAAAACAAAUAAAACCCUUUUAGAGGACUCCAAAUCUUUGAAAACGAGAGAAAAGAGUUCGGGAGUCACGGUUGAAGAAAGGAAAGGCAAAAAUUUGAUCGAUUCAAAUCUAAGGCAUCCUUUCAAUCUGGCCAAGACUAGUUGUGAGAUUUAGUCAAAAAUUUUCCUAAUCUAACCUCUAAAACUUAUCACAUUCAGAUACCUCUAUAUGGAUGUAAACCUAGACUUAUGGGAUAUCGAAAGGGACGAAAUGUCAUGUUGGCUGAUUGAAGCCAAUAGUUUAGAUGAAAGGGUGUUGCCCCUUUGUAAGUAAUCCUUGUAGUAUCAAGUGUUAAUAUAUAUAAAAGCUAAUAUCGUUUGUAGAAAAAAAAAACAAGAAUUUUUGGAAAAAUUUUGGUGUCUACACUAAUCAUAUUGAUAUUUCUUGUAUUGGAUUGUUUCCAAAUCGAAUUAGGGAAACAUGGCCUUAUUUUUCCAACAAUCUUUAGAUGUCUAACUCCUAAUCUAAUUAGGAAAUUGAAGUCUAAAAUUCCCAGCAUUAAAUCACCUCCUUCUUUAGAAAAUUUCCAUCAUUAGUUCUUGAAAUUUUCUUGUUGUAUUGCUAUCCAAAUUUCCAACCUUAUUCUUUCACUUUCUAGGCCAUGACUGAGGUGUUUAUUGGUUGGUAUAUUCACUAAAUCCUUGGGGAAUCAAAUCAUGAGUGAAUUCAAGAAAGGCAAUGAAUAAGUGUGAGACCAUAAAAAGUGAGUGUAAACACGGUGCUUGAGGGUAUACACGUGAGGUUGAGCAUGUGAGGUAUUAUUUAUAACCUAUCGUACAGGAAAUCAUGUCUAGCAAGGAAGAUUCAGAUUUCUAUCCAGUAGACUCAAACUUGAUCAUGAAGACUGUGAAAGGAGAGAUGAAGCAAAUGAUGUGGACUAAAAUGGAAUCCAUCCAUGAACGCUUAAAUCGGAUUGAGAUUUCUCAAGAGUAGCUGUCCAAAUGUGAGAGUCACCUCCCAAGCAUGGAAUAACAAGACAUCGGAAUUUAGAGGAGGAAUACGUUGUGACUGAAAAAGAAGAAUCUGAAGUUGAGCUUAAGAGACUACCUAGGAGGAACCAUCGAGAUAAUGAUGCUAUGGUGAAGGAAGUGCAGCUUAAGAUCCCUUCUUUUUAAGGGAAAUUUGACCCUGAAACUUAACUAGAAUAUGAGCAUAGGAUGGAACUUAUUUUUGACUACCAUAACUACAAAAAGAUGCAGAAGUUAAGUUGAAUGUGGUGGAGUUUUUAGACUAUGCAAUUACUUGGUAAGUUGAUUGUGGUGGAGUUUUUAGACUAUGCAAUCACUUGGUAAGUUGAUUGUGGUGGAGUUUUUAGACUAUGCAAUCACUUGGUGUGACUAACUAACUAUCAGUAAAAGAUGGACGGGUGAGCGAUUUGUUAGUACUUGUUAGGAGCUCAAAGCCUUGAUGAGAAAGCGAUUCGUCCCUGCUUAUUACUAUAGAGAUCUCCAUCAGAAUUUUUGAAAUUUGAUGUAAAGUGAUCUAACUAUUGAAGAUUAUCAUGAAGAAAUGGAGAAGGCAAUGAAGAGGACAGAUGUGAUAGAGGAUCCAGAAGUACAAUGGCUCGAUUCUUGAAGGGGUUGAAUCCAGACAUUGCAAAUGUAGUUGAAUUGCAGCACUACAUGGAGUUGGAGGAGAUGGUGCAAAAGGCUAUCAGAAUUGAGAGACAGUUGAAGAGAAAGGGUGGCAACAAACCCAACUCAUUUUUUACACCUUUCACUGCAAGGGGUACACCAAAAAAUGAUAGAGUACCUUCGAAACCUAAGGUGGAAAAGCCUAAGGCCUCCAGCAACACUCUAGUUUCUACUAUUUGAAGUGGCCAUUCCUUUACCUGUACAAAAGUUGCUAGAGGAGUUUGCAACAUCAUUCUAGAUGAUAUUCCACUUGGUUUGCCACCUAUGUGGAGUAUUCAGCAUGCUAUCGAUUUUGUCCCCAAAGCUAGUUUGUCCAACCUAUUGCACUAUAGAAUGAGUCCAAAGAAGAAUGAAGCACUACAACAAAUAGUAGAUGACUUACUUAAGAAGGGAUAAAUUCAAGUGAGCAUGAGUUCAUGUGCAAUCCCUGCCUUGCUGAAUCCAAAGAAAGAUGGCAGUUGAAGGAUGUGUGUCAACAGUAGAACAAUCAACAAAAUCACUGUACGUUACAAAUUCCCCAUCCCGAGGUUAGAAUAUAUGUUGAAUUGCUUGUUGGGAGCCAGGUUCUACUCAAAGAUUAAUCUUUUAGAGUGACUAUCACUAGAUAUGCACCUGAUCGAAAAUGAGUGGAAGACGGCCUUCAAAACCAAGGAGGUCUUUAUGAAUGGCUGAUCAUGCCAUUUUGGUUUUCUAAUGCCCCGAGUACCUUCAUGAGACUGAUGAAUGAGGUACUUAAACCGUUUAUUGGAAAAUUUGUGGUUGUAUAUUUUGAUGUUAUUCUAACAUAUAGUGCUUACAAUGAGGAGCAUUUGGAGCAUCUUCACCAAGUGCUGACUAUGUUGCAGGAGAACAAGCUCUACAUUAAUUUGAAGAAGUGCUACUUCAUGGUGAAGAGCUUUAUCUUUUUAGGCUUUGUUAUCAAUGAAGAUGGGAUACAUGUGGAUGAGGAGAAGGUGACAGCUAUAUGUGAUUGGCCUAUCCCCAAAACUAUCACUAAUAUCAAAAGCUUUUAUGGCCUUGCAACCUUCUACAAGAGAUUCAUUCAAAAUUUCAACACUACUGUAGCUCCUUUGACUAGCUGUUUAAAGAAGGGCAAGUUUUAGCAGGGUUUAGAAUAGGAGAAAAGCUAUAGUGAUGGUAUAUCUCUGGCGUGAGCAAUUCCCAGUUGGUACUUAUGGCAGGUUACAGCCAUGGAAGUAUGGUCCUUACAAGAUCCUACAGUGCAUUAAUCCUAAUGCCUAUGUGGUGGACUUGCCAGAAUCGCUUGGCAUUUCUUGAACUUUCAAUGUUAUUGAUUUGACCUUAAAUUAUUCAUCGAACAUGCCCUUAUAUCCAGAUGUGCCCAUUCACUCAAGGGCGAGUUACUUUCAUGUGGGGAGACUGAUACGGAGCAGCUUGAAGAUGUAUUUUGGAGUAGGAUGGAUCAUAAAAAUAAAAAAUAAAAAAAAAGUCGCAUGUGAAGCAGAGUUUAGUCGAGUCGGACUCCCAACCUAAUACCCAUCAUAAGACUUGUCAUAUUUUGAUUUUUGUUCAGUUUAUAGAGACUUGCUAAAAUGGGUGCCAAUCAUUAAGCCCGACGUAUGACCCAACAUGACUUGAAGUUGCGUUUUAUUUCCACAUUUUCUUUUAUUUUCUUUUCUUUUAGUUCAUCAAUAUUGUAGCCUAUAAAUAGGCCUAUUUCUUGUUUGCAAACGAAUAUCCAGUGUUGAAGAGGAAUUCGAUGUAUUUUCUUGAUGAUUAUCCUGAGAAGCUUUAUGCUUUCAAUUGUCCAUAUGGUGGUCAUGAUUCGGGUAUCUAUGACUUGGAAGAUAGCAGCAUUACCCGUUUUUCUCCAUUAGGAAAACCCAGCAAGAUUUAUCAACAAACGUUUUGAAUUAAAACUCUUAGCCUUUAGUUCUGACAACUUACUAAGUUUUCUUGAGCCAGGCAAUGGUUUUAUAUUAUUCAAUUUGUGACGACCCCACUUCUCCCAAGGGCGAACCCAAGGGUAUCGGCGGGCCGCCUGCCUAGCUCGCGCCAGGACUCAAAACCUAAAGUUCGAAAGAGCACUAAAUACAAUAUAUACAAUCCCAAAAGUUAUAUUCACAUCUUCAAAAGUCUCGAGUCAAACUACUCUAAUAUACUACAAUCACAACCAGCAGAAGAUAGACCAUAAGAAGGGUCCUUAUACAAACCACCAAAACAAAAACAAACAUUCUAACUAUUCAACUAUUACAAGCCAAUCUAACUAUACUAGUAUACGAGCCAAAAGUCCCCGCGUCGGCCCCUGCUAAGGAAAACAAAAGGAAUGGGGUAAGCUAUAUGCUUAGUAAGUAAACAGGGGCGAAAGCAUAAAUUUCACGUAACAGUUACACAAUAAGAGUAAAGCAAAAGCAGAAAAGUAACAUCACAUAAUAAGGAUACAGGUGGCUCCAAAGCCAACUCAUGUGCCAUGCGUGAUCUCCUGCCGACACUCCGUCGACUGCAAAUAAUAGUCCGUAGAACUUCACUUGUACACCCACCGACACCUUAUCACCCUCACUGGCCAGUCACCUCACAAACUUGCCCGGGCGAACGAAAUCACAAACUUGAGCUUGAGUCACAAGCUCGGGUCACAAACUUGGUCACCUUCUCGGUGAACCGGAUUCACAAAAUUGGUUCAUAAAAUGAACCUACAAACUUGGUGACCUCAGACUAAGUUGGACUGCCUUCGACCAAGCCCUAACCGGCUCGAAUAGUCCAACCAGGUCAAGAGUUCGCCCCAAACUCACAAACUUCACAAAAUUAUUCAAAAUCACAAACUUUGCAAACUUCACAAACUUUAUUCGAAAGUCGCCCCGAGCCACAAGCUCAAGGGUUUUGGUUCCAAAAGGUUCAUAUACAUAUGCCAAGUACAAUUAUACAUUCAAAUUAGGGUUUAGGUCGAGUGCGAUAAAGUACACCCUCGCCUAAGUGCCCUUUUCACAUAUCUCAAACACAUAGCAAAGAAAACACACCAAACCGGCCUGAAUACUUACUCAGAAACUGAAAUAGCAAAAGUACGAAGUCGGAUCGAAAUGAACAGCUAGUAGUGGGCCCCACCAGUUCCGCCCAGCUCACCACCGUCUGAAAUAGAAGAUUGUGUCACAUAAUAUCGCAAACGGCUACUAUCGUGCCUAAAACAAGCAAAACGGCAAAAACGGCACGCGCGCACAUAAAUAUGACGAACGGAAACGGAGACGGCCGUUAGCAGAAACGGCAGAUUUGACACUCGUUUCUAGUUUACUCAUAAGUUGAGCUACGAAUAUCGGAUUAAGGCAUAUGUGACGCCAUAUCGAAGCUUAAAGGAUGAACAACAACUGUUAUGAAGACAUCCAGAACUGAAACUGGAGGCUUUAGUCCCAAAUGAACCAAACACAAUCACUUACGGAAUCUGGCAAAUGCACAAAUGGUCAGUUUUGAGUGCAAACUGUUUUCUAUGCUACACAUGGUCAAAAGAGCUGAAAAUUGGCAGUUAGAUAGUUCAUUCCAAAUGGAACAACUUUCAUGAAGGUCGGCAACCCAAAUUCGGAACGGAAAUUGGUCAUCAGGACCAAAACAGAUUUCUGGUCAUUUUCACGGGCAGGCCUUGUUUGCUCGGCUAUAUCUCAGGUUUUAUAAAUCCGAUUCAUGAAAUUCCAAGGGCGUUAGAAAGCUAUGAUAUAGGGCUAUAAGUUUGGUGUUUUGGUCGGAAGUCCAAACAGCUUGUAACUCAGUCAAAUGUGAAGCCAAAGUUCCAGCCAUAAACUUUCCAAAAACGUACCAGAAUCACAAACCGUAUUUGACCUCAAUAUGCGGUAAUGGCACCAAAUUCACUACGGUUAUCGGAUGGGGGUGUAAGACCCACCGUUUCGAAGCUAAGAACCAGGGCUACAACAAUGUAGAAGGUCACUCAGUCCAAAUCCUAGCACAACUAGGUCAAAUAUGCAAAAUACCAAACCAGAAUCGUAAUUGCAGGUUCCCAAAUCACACAAAACUGUAAUCAGUCCAAGUCAGUCUAUACAGGUCCAAAAGCAUUGAUUCCAAAGGCAUAUGAAAGCUAAGACAUCAAGCUACAUUUCAUCAGAAGACACCAACAACAAAAUCCAAAGCAAUUCCAGUCAAAACAGACGAUUACAAUCACAGUUCGCACAUUCUGAUCACCCAGAACAGCAACAGUAAAAACGACAUAUCUCAUUCUACACUACUCCAAAUGACCUGAAAUUUUGUAGGCACCUCUAAAAUUUCAUUCCCUACAACUUUCAUGUUUUGAGAAAAGUCCAAUUCGGCCUCUAUCUAUGACCUAAAAUUUCGGACAGAAUGUAGCUUCAAGAACCCUAAUUUUCCAGAAUUUCUUCCAAACCCAAAAUUGAUUGCAAUUUUCUAUCAUAUGCACCUACUAGAGCCAAAGCCCCUUAUUACCAACCAUCAAAAACAAUCACACCAUCAAGAUCAUAUGAAACCAGAAAAUUCCUCAAAAAAUAAAAAACUCAACCAAAUCACUUCAAACCAAGAAAUAAUCCACAAAUUUCAGCACUCUAAUCACUACUAAUCAUAUCUUAAGCAUUAAUAGGUGUAGGUGGAAGUUUAAGCUUCACUUACCAAGAAACAAGAGAGAGAGAGAUGUUGGCCACCUUAGACCUUCAAACAAACUUCACUACAACACUUACUAGCACUAGAAGAAAGGUUUUUAUGGAGUAGAAUCUAAUCUAGGCUUUUGUUUGUGGGAGAUUGAAGCAAAUGGAGCUUGAAAGUUGAAGAAAUGCACUUCCUUCUUGAGCUAGGGAGAUCCGGCCACCAAGAGAAGAAAAUGGUGAUUUUUGUGCAUUUUUUUUAUAUUUAAUCCUUUGGUCAAAAAAGUCAAGAAAGUGAAUAGUAUUUCUUAAAGUCCAACCAAUGAGAAGGUGACACUUGUCACCUCAUUAAAUGCAUUCAUAUCCUUUCUUUCUUCUCUCACAUCAAUCAUUUCACACACUCUACUUGUCUAUUAACACCCGAUAAAUUUUACACAGUAUCCGGAAUUUAACCUAAUUGGCCGAAUUUUUCCGAACUUUUCGCACUAGUGGGUCCCACGUCCGUUAUAUAUUCUUAAUUUUCUAAAAACUCUCCAAUACUAGGAAAAUCAUUUUAAAACUAUUUUUGCUCAUAAACUUUAUCUGGGGAAUUUUUCUAAUCAAGAAAAUGUAGAAAAGGCGGGCGAUUUUAAAAAAAAUAUAAACCCUAGAAAAUUAGAAAAUUUCCGGGUUCUCAAACUCUUUUUUUUUUUCGGGGCGUCACACAAUUAAAUAUGAUUGCCUUAGAUAUCCAUCCAUUACCUUAUAGACCAUGCAUCUUUACAUGAACUUAAGCUAGUAUCUGGUUUCCAAAUCUUAUUGUUUGUUGGAGAUUUGAUCAAUAAAGUGGGAUCACUCACUUGAUUGUACAGGUUGAAAUUAGAUAAUUGACAUGUAUAUAAGGAUUUGCAACAGUUAAACUUGGGAUUUUCAUGAAGAAAUUGAAGGUGGAUGGAACCAUGGACAAGUUUAAGGCCAAAUUAGCUGGCAAGGGGUUUACUUAAAUAUAUGGCAUUGAUUAUUUGAUACUUACUCACCGGUAGCUAGAAUAGCUACCAUAAGGGUACCACUUGCGAUAGGUUCAAUCCAAAAAUGGGUAAUUCAGCAAAUGGAUGUCAAGACAAUAUUUUUUAAUGGUGAAUUAGAUGAACAAGUGUACAUGAAACAAUCCGAAAGGUUUGUAGUACCUGGGCAAGAGAACAAAGUGUGUAGACUUGUAAAGUCCUUGUACGGAUUAAAACAAUCUCCAAAACAAUGGCACCAAAAAUUUGACCAAGUAAUGCUUGCUAGUGGGUUCAAGAUUAGCGAGUCAGACAAAUGUACAUAUAGCAAGUAUAUGAGUAGUAAAGGAGUCAUUACUAGCUUGUAUGUGGACAAUAGGUUAAUCUUUGGUACUGGCUUUAAACAAGUCUGUGAGACCAAAAAGUUGCUCUCAUGCAAGUUUGACAUAAAGGAUAUAGGGAUGGCUGAUGUUAUCCUAUGAAUAAGAAUUAAGAGAGAGUAAGGUCAAAUUUUGCUUUCACAAUCUCAUUACGAUGAGAAGAUUCUUAGUCAUUUCAAUCAUCAAGAUUGUAAACCUGCCUUAACUCCCAUUGAUCCAAAAAUUGAUUUUGUUAAAAAUGUUGGUGAUCCUAUGUCUCAAUUGGAUUACGCAAUAGUGAUUUGAUGCUUGAUGUAUGCAAUGCAUGUACAAGGCCAAAUAUAGAUUUUGCUAUAAGCGUGUUAAGUAGGUACACAAGCAACCCAAGCAAACAACAUUGGUUAGGUGUAACUAGAGUCUUGAGGUAUCUAAAACAUACUAAAGACUAUUAUGGCAUUUGCUAUAGUGGCUAUCCUUCCAUAUUAGAAGGUUUUUCGGAUGCUAGUUGGAUGACAAAUAAAGAUGCUCAUUCUUCUAUGAGUGGUUGGGUCUUUAGGUUAGAUGGAGGAGCAAUUUCUUGGGCGUUCAAGAAACAAACAUGCAUAAUCGACUCCACCAUGGUAGCUGAAUUUAUAGCUUUGGCUUCAACUAGCAAAGGAUCCGAUUGGUUACGAAAUUUGCUACACGAGAUACCAAUGUGGCCAAAGCCAAUUUCACUAAUCUCCAUACACUAUGGUAGUGCUGCUACGCUUGCUAAAGCUUAUAGCCAAGUGUACAAUAGCAAAUCUAGACAUGUUGGAUUAAGCCAUAGUCUAGUAAGAUAUCUGAUCAUGAAUGGUGUGAUAAUCAUAGAUUUUGUAAGAUUAAAAGAGAACCUAGCUAAUCCUUCAACCAAAGGAUUAACAAAGGAAGUAGUGGUUAAAACAUCUAAAGAGAUAGGGUUGAAGUCCAAUCCAUGAAUCACUAACAAUGGAACCUCGAUUCAACACAAGUUAUAACAACCAGCCUUGAAUUCAAUGAGUAAAAGUACAUUGAUAUGGUGGUUUGAACACUAUAAAACUUCCCAAAAGGUGUAGUGUGAUUUUUCUCGCUUGAAUUGAAAUGUUGAAUUUAGAGUUCUUAAGAAGUUGGUAAGAUGCUACAAAUGGCGAGGGCAUUAAGAGCCUGCCUAUAUGAAUGUUGAAUUGAUGGUAUCCACAAAGUUUAGAACUUAACUUUGAAUACGUUCAUGAUAGGAUAGGGAUACAAGACCUAAUGUACAGCUUAUAUAAACAAAUUGAAGAGAAGUGAAUUUGUGUGUAUUAAUUUAUGUGGCUUGUUGCAUACACUCUUAGUUCAAAGAUUGUCUACCAAAUAGUAUUAACAAGUUAUAAUCAAUUAACACUAAGAUGGUGGUUCAAUCGAAAGAUACUAUUGUUUAUGCAUAGAUUAUCAAAAUUUUUAAUAAUCCAUAAAGAAAUUUUCAAUAUGUUGAAAAUAGUGGGGGAUUGUUAGAAUAUUUUAAAAUAUUGAAAAUUCAGACAAAAUUUUAGAUAUAGCUUUCUACAUUUCAUUCACAACCUUUCAGGUUUCAACCGUCAUAUGAAGAGAUACAACUCCAAGCAUGUUUCUAACGAUUAAUAACUAUUUAGGAGACAUGAAAUCUUAUUUAUAUGGAUCAAUUUGUUCAAAUUGUGUGUUCAAUUAAGCAUUCAACAGCUUAUACCUUCUCUGGUGAUGAAUGCAUCGAGGCUUACAAUUUUUGAACAUAUUGGAGUCCUAAUAGAAAACAAUUCAUGCAUAAACCAUAUUUUAGGCCUCACAAGUUCAAAGGAUCAGAACAGAUUUAGAGGAAAAGCAAUGCAACAUCAAAAAGUAUUAUGUUGUCGACAAUCCUACUGGAGAUCUUCUCAUGGUUAUCAAACAUUAUGCCAAUCAUGAUGCUUAUGGUGAUGUUAUUAUUCUUAAUGAGGAUAACCAAAAUGCUGUCCCAUACAAGACUCUAAGGUUUGAUGUUUACAAGUUGAAUAUGAAGGAGAAAAAUGUAGAAUAUGUGGACUGUCUCGAUAAUCGCGUGAUUUUAUUGGGAUUGAAUCAAUUUUUCGUUCUGUGUGCAAAUGAAUAUCCGGGGUUGAAGAGGAAUUCGGUGUAUUUUCUUGAUGAUUUUCCUGAGAAGAUUUAUGAUUUCAACUGUGCAUAUGAAGGUCAUGAAUUAGGUAUUUAUGACUUGGAAGAAAACAGCAUUACCCCUUUUCUUCCGUUAGGAAAACCCAACAAGAUUUAUCAGCAGAUGUUCUGGAUUGAACCUCUUAGUUCUUUUGCUUCCCUUUAGUUCUGACAAGUUAGUUCUAUUGCUUCCCUUUUGAUCAUUUCCUCCAACAAAUUUGAAAUGCUUUUGACGUAGGCAAAAUUUUUUGACAUUAUUCAAUUAUAAUGGAAUUGGUUUACAUGUUGAUCCAUUGGCUUAUAUACCACUGCAUCUUCAUAUCAACUUGAGGUAGUAUAUGGUUUCCAAACUCUUAUUGUGAUUGGAAGAAUUAUACAUUAAAUUGGGGUCGCUUGCUUGAAUGUUGAUUGAAACUCAGAGACACUAAAUAUUUUUUCAUGGUUUUCAUGUGGUUUGUAUGCUUGUUGUGCUUUUUAUAUAAUAUGGUGUAUUUUCAUGAAAAAAUUUGUGAUAUGUAUAGAUUUUUCUUCUAUAUUUAAAUCGAUAUAUAAAUAUAAUCAUGUUCAUAAGUAUACACCAAAAAUCGCAUCAAACUCCAACGUUACCUGCCCAAUCCCAGAUGCUCUCCAUGGUGUAAGUUAUGCCCUAGUAGCCUAACUUAGCUUGGGUAUAUCUAACUGGUUUUUUGAAAAUUUAAAAAAAAAAAAAAAACUUUUAACUAUAAUUUCUAACUGAUUAUGUUGGGAGAUAAUUCGAAGUGCGUUUAUUGUUGCAAGGUGGACUUGAUCCCACAGACAAAUAACAUAAGACAACACAUAAUCUUCAACUCUAAUUAUUGUGACAAUAAAUAUAAUAGGGAAAAGAUGACAAUGAUUGUCGAAUCAAGCUAAUAUUAAUCUGAGCCAUAGUUUACUUUUUUAGUUUUCCAGAUUGUAAAGAACCAGAGUUGCUAGAACCAAGUAAUAAAUUGAAAUGCUGAAGAGAAGUAUCUUUUUUUCAUAUUUAUUUUAAUUCCCAGCAUAAACACACACAAACGAAUUUCCUCUCGAGUAAUUUAGUUGGAGGGUUUUCAUAAAAGUGCCUCUAAUAACAUAACCUCAAUAUAGCAUUUAGAUUCAAAAGACCAAACUAUAAUCAGCUAAUAUUAAGCUUUUGAGAAUAAGAUCACAUAAAUAAGGUAAUCUCUUAUUUUUAUUUUUCAAAUAAUAGUAACGCAUUAAUAAGUUAUUUUGCUCUUAUCAUUUUAACCAUGCAUUAGCUCCCAAGCGUGUUCCUAUUUCGUUGGAUACAUUAUUAUUAUUAUCAUUAUACUCUCAACCACUAUAAGGCCGACGAGGGGAAAAAUAUGCGACUCAAAUUGACAGUGAAAUUAGGUUCCCCAAUCCGCCAAGUGAAAAAUGCGAGAGAGGAUGAAAAGGUUCAUUGACCACGAGUUCCUAAAGUGCCUCUGUAGCAUUUCGACAUUGACAUCAACCAAAAACAUUUAAUUUUAGUCAGAGGCAAGGAAAUCUCGACUAUGUGAUACAAAUGAAAAUGCUGUUUGCGAAAAGAGAACUUGCAAAAAGCAUAUUAUGGUGAACAAGGAAAAAUGUGAAGUAUGGAUACCUCCUUAAUUUGACCUAGUUCAGAGCUUGUCAAUAACAUUCACUGAGAUAGGUUAACAGUAUCUACCAUAUCAAAGUGACGCUCCCUCUAAAUGGUAUUUACAGAAGAUAUUACUUGGAGGUGAACCUGAGGUUUUCAUCAAAAGGAUAACUUUUUCCCUUGGAUUGACAAAUACCUGCUAUAUUUUUUGUCAUGAGCGUUGGCAAAAAUUGGUAAAAUAGCUCAUUUCCCUGUAGGCCCCGUUUGAUAACCAAAACAAAAGAAUACUGAAACUCGAGUACUUGAGAUUUUUACCAUGCUUGAGGUGUUUGAAUAACUUAGCAUUGCUACUAAAGACAAAAAAAGUAAAAUUACAGACAUUUCGACUGGGCAAAACAUCGAGAAGAAUAUACAGUUGUUAAGGAGAGUAUCCCCAAUCUUUUAACCUAUCCAACUGAUCUUUUAUAAUGAUGCAACUUAGACAGGAAAUAUCAUGCUAUUACCAGAUAAGUACUAGUUACUGUUCUACAAGUAUGCUGUGAAGUAGUUACUCGGUUUCCAGGGCUGCAAUCUCAUACCUAACUUCUUCCAAAUGUUCAUUUAUGGUAAUUACAGCAUUCUGCACACCUUUGAUGGCUUCCUUUAGAGCAUUAUCGUACUCUGCAUCAGCCUCUGCCUCUUCAGUUCCAGAGGCUUCAGUUAUCUUAUUGAUAUGCACACACUGGUGUCCAAUUGCCCUAUUAAAUCUGCAAUUCUCGUGGCUCACAAGACGUUCUGAAGGACGGCCAACCUUCUUCAACACCUGAAUGGUAGCAGUCUGCGAGCAAGAGACACAAGAUGUAUCAAGCAGAAUAAUUAGCACCAAACACAGUGCAUAGAAAGAGAGUUACUACAGAACUAAUUGCAUACAAGGUAACACCUAAAUACACCAAGACGGAUGAUUUGAACAAACAAGCCAUCAUAAUCAAAUUGUUUGCCAUCAACCAGUCAAAAGCCAAACAAGGUCUGAGACCUAAUCUGUCAAUUAUUGAGUCAUACAAGCGCAUCCAGAAAACUAGAACAUUCCAGCAGUUAGGGAUUAAAAAAUUAAAAAAUAAAAUAAAAACUCAUACUAAAGGCUUUGGAAUAAUGUAGGACCACAGACUAAAUGCUUUGAAACCAAAACAAAACUCUGAUAAAACAACAUCCUGAAAGCACGUAAACACAGAUUUUAAGCAUAAUCAUUUACGAGAAAGGAAAUAACAAGUUAAUCUCUGAUUACUUGUUGAGGAAAAAAUGUCAACAUAACCUUCAUGUUCUAAAUUAAUGCAUCCCAUGCAUGAUGUGUGUGUGUGAGAGAGAGAGAGAGAUUCCAAGUGCACUAACAUGACCAGAUAAUUGCAAGACAGAGUUAAGCUCACACACCCUUGAUUUGCUUAGUCUCCUUCGACAAUAUGAACAGUAAAACUAAAACAACGAUUCAUGCACUUAACACUGAUCUGUGGGAGUAAAUGAGAUGUAUAUCAAAAUAACAGCAUAUUAAAUAUGUCCCACGAAGAUAGGUAUCACACAAACACAUUGACUUAUAGUUGAAUGUGCAAUUCAAUGUUCUUGUGAUACCAAUUUAAGCAAAUUGACAGAGUGCAACAGCAUAUUUGUGCUCUGGAGAUGCAAUUCUUCACCUUUCCAUGUUCCAAUUACCACCGCUUUAACAAUGGGCUUAGUUUAUAUCAGCAUAUUUCCCUUGGAAAAGGUAGUUGUCAUCAUCCACACCAGCAGGCCAUUUUAGGAAGUUAUAUUAACGGGAUGUGUUACAAUUCCUUGCCAUACUGAAGAAAGCAGAACGCUAAUUGAUGGUUGCUCAUCUCAUCAAGAAUGACCAACAGGCCAACCAUAAUUAGCAUUGUAUCUGUAACCGGAUCAUGCAAUGCACAGUAAAAGGAAAGAGGCACGUGUCAUUACUUCAUGACCAUGGGGGUUACAGGAAAAAGGACUCAGGCAAAAAUAUGGAAACCGUUCAUGCAAUCUUAAUUACCUUUUCCUGUUUCCCUUUCAAUUUCUUUUUAUAAAGUUACUUUUCCGAAUAAGCUGAUAUGUUAAAUUUGUUAACAUAAAGACAGAUAGAUGCAAAUCAUCAUCUUUUUCUCUUCUUUUUUUAGCCUAUUUUCCCCCAAUAAAGAUUGUGAACCUUAAUAAUUUCUCCUAAACUCUCCCUCUUCGAAUAAAUGAAUGAUAUACAGAUCUCAAAAGCUACCUAGGUUUAACUUUGAAAUGGAAAGCAAGCAAUGUAAAAAUCACAGAAAAUCUUGGUAAAGGUAAAAGUUUAAACCGCUUCAUGAAUUUCAGACUCUCUGUUCUUCCAUAUAUGCUACAUAAUUCUGAACGUCCCAAUUAUUAGUUUCUCUGCUCCUCAAACCAAUAAUUUUUUAGAUGAUCUAGCAGUACUUAAAUUGUAAUUUCUCCUUGUCCUUAAUUUCACCAAGAUGGACCUAGAAUUCUUGAAUUAAACCUAAAGAAUCAUUUUUUAGUUUAUUAAGCCAAGAUAAAGGCUCUCAUGUAAGACACCAUAAAGAAUAAACAGGGAUAGGGUCACUUCCUGGAUAAGAGAUGAAAUUGGCACAAGAGCAAGGCCUUCAGACUAAUUAAUCAAUGAUUCAAUGAAAGACAAAUUCCAAGGAAAAAAAAAGAAACAAAAACUUGGAUGUUUAACUCAUUCUUGUCGGAGCUUUAACAUCUUAUUAUUUGACGUGAAAUUGUUCUGAAUCCUUCAGGGAUCUUUCAGUGAAACCCUGCUUGCUCUAUUUGGAAUAUCUUACAGGAGUCUCAAGACUUCAAAAAUAGAAAAAUUCUAACAGCUCAGUCAACUUGGGUGUCAAGUCAUGACUAAAAUGUUUUAAGUAGUUUCAGGAUCUGUUUACAUUCCAUUGAAUUAGUUCCAAGAACUUAAAAAAAAUAAAUCAGUGUUUAAGAUUUGCAGUAUGAAAAUGAUUUGCUCAAUCUCUAUACAAAGCUACAAAGCACCAUGAACCUAAUUGACAAAAUUCACUUAUUAGAGAAACAGGAUAAAAGGGAUCAGAAAUCAGAGAAAGACUCUCAAUUUUCAAAAAGUACAUCAACCCAAUGCUAUUGUUUACUUGCCCCACCUAAACAUAAACUCAAAGUAAAGACAAGCAUAAGGGCAUACGUUGUCAGGGAAUAAACCAUAUUUCCCACAAUGGGUUGAAAACCAGAUAUUACAUUAUAAUUCACUUAAAUGAGGAAAAGUCAAGAUACUAAUGCCCAUUGAGGUAAUGGGUGCAAGCACACGUAUGCAUUUUGAUCCAGCUUCACAUAGAACCUAUAAAACUGGAAAUGAGAUGAUGGUAGUGGAAUUGAUUUGGUACUGGAAAUGCAUGAAACCCCACCAAAUCAAUUCUUGUGUUACUGGUUAAUGACUUGUGCAUCAUCACAAGAUAGUUGCUAGCCAACAAGAGCACCUGGCAGGAAUCAGAACUGGAAAUUACGUCAGGCAUCUUGGUUCUACUCCGUUACUGACAUUAGGCUGCAAAAGACAUGCUAAGAGAAAGACGGAGACUCAGAUUUUUUUGGUGCUUGCUAGACAUCCGGAUGUUAGAUGACCAGACUUGGCAAUUACAGUAUUACUAAUGACAGUACUGGGCCUUUGGAAGAGGAAAACACGUGUGCUUAUAAAAAGAUGUUUUCUUUCAUCUGGGAACAAGGGAAAAGUGUGUGACAGAUACAUAGUUUGACAUGUCUGUGUAACAUGUGUGCUAAUGUAAAAAAUGUUUUCUUUCAUCUGAGAACAAUGAAAAAGUGUGUGACAAACACAGAUGUGUUUGACUUAUGUAAGUGCAUGUAGCGCACACUUGCAUGCACACACACACACAGAGGGAGGGAGGGAGGGAGGGAGGGAGGGAGGGGGAGAAGGAAUAAGAGAUGCCAUCAUUUAAUAGUUAUAACAGGAAAACAAUAUUCAGACCCUAAAGCACUCUCCUAAAGCACUAUCAACCUUGUCAGCAAAUACACAUAUGCUCAUUGAUUUAUUAACUGGAGGAACAAAGAAACAUCGACCCAAAAAGUAAAAAGUACCAGUUGCAGCUUCUGCUUUUCUUGUGUUUGAACUGAUUUGAGUAGACAAGCAAGAUCCUCCCGAAAGAAAUCAGCGCUGCGAAAGAGUGAUUCCAAAUCAAGGACCUGCAUUAAAGGAAUUACUUUAAAUUUAUAUGCUAAAGAUGGCAUAAUCCAAAGGAACAAGAAAGGGUACACAGAAGGGCCCGAUUAAAAGUCUAAACAAAACAACCCUGAACAUGUCCCUCAAUUUCUAGACCUCCUAAGAAGGUUAUAAUACAAAACAGUAACUACUACAAUAACAAAAAACUAAAAGCAAAUGCAAAACUCACUAACUUCUCUUGAACAGUCAUUGAAUUCAACAGUGAUCUCACUGCAAAGUUGUUGGUAAGCUGACUCACUUCCUGACACCAUAUAGUCCUCAAAUCCACUGUAAUACAACAACAUUGUAAGAUCACAAAAGAACAAUAAAAAAAUAAUCCAUCAUCCUAUUCAUUUGGAAAUUGGUACAUACAUAAAACCAAAAUCUGUUUCUUUCAUCCAAUUGAUAAAGAUCAAGGCAACUCAUUAGUAACUUAACCACUGCAAUACAACAAAAUUGUAAGAUCAGCAAAGAACAAUAAAAGAUUAACUCAUCAUCCUAUUCAUGUGGGAGGUGGUGCACACAUACAACCAAAAUCUUUUUUUCUUUUGUCCAAUUGACAAAGAUUAAGGCAACUCAUUAGUAACUUAACCAGGUUGUCACACCUACAUAGCCAUGGUUCUUUAAAAAGGAAAUAAGGAACCCAAACCAGUACUGCCUCCAUCCCAUUGAUAAUGCCCAGUUUUCUUUUUUGGCCUUUCCCAAAUUCAUUGUCGCCUACCCAGAAUGGAUAAUGUAGUUUUUGUCCAAUUCAUAUAUUUACCCUUGUAGUACAUAGAUUCCCUAACUUUUACUGAUGAGUUAAAGGGAAUGGGAAGCACUCACAAUGUCAUGCAAAUGGUGUUUCAAAAGGCUUAGAUUUUAAAGGAAGCUAUUGAAAGCUUUUUUAGGUCGUAUAAUUGAGAUAAACCACUAAAAAUUGUGGAUAGCGUUGCUUACAUACACUCUAUGGCCAUCACUAAGAAAUAAAAAGAGCUUGUAAUCAUCAGUCAACUACUGGGCUCAGUGCGGCAAACUAGUGUUGAGAGAGAGAGAGGGAGGGAGGGAGAGAGAGAAUAUCUGUGGUGCCUAAUCUACUUUUCUUAAUCUACUCAAAUUCCCAUACAACAACAUGGAAAUUAGCUUGUCAAAAACAAGAAACUCUAGUUUCCAUCAGAAAUCCCCUGUAGAAUCCGAAUUCCAUUUGUAACAAAGAACAUUAGGGGCCUAGCAACCCUCUCUUUUCCCGUACAUUAUGUCUUAUGCCCUGUCUUAACUCAUUCAGGGCAACUAAUAAGUACUGAUCAAUACAAAUUUUAACAUUGCAACAAAAUUAUCAAACUACAGAAAACACAACAUAAUUGUCUUAGCCAAUUUCUUCAACUCUGCAUUACUAAUCUACUACCUUUUUUUUCCCCUGCAACGGCAACUAUCUAUCCUUUUCUACACUAAUCAACACUAUGGAGGAAGGGGAGCCCAAAGCAGCUUGUUUGGGGGCUGGGGAGUGAACCGCCAAACCCGACAAGUGCACUACUACACUCUCUGGACUUUUUAAGAACAAGGAAGAACUAUAAUUCUUUGUGGGAGAGCUUUAAAGAGGCUCUCCCUGGCCAUUGGACCAAGGUCCAAUGGUUGCACUACUGGUCUAUUAUCACCAAGCACUAAAGUCACCAUGCACUCCAUCAUCCCCCAUUCAAUACCACAAGAAGACGCUUUUCACAUACUUCAUCCAUAGGCACAAUAUACCUAAAAUCUGUAAUUUUUCAAAAAAACAGAACAGAAGUCUGCAACCUUCCAAAACUACACAUUCGGCAAGCUAUCAAGGAUCUACAAUUCCCAACACUUCCUUGUUUUAAAGGAACAUAUAUCAUGCCCUUGUUAUCCUCCACAAAAAUCUAAAACUUUUCAACUUCUCAUUACUAAAUAGGAGAAAUCUGUCAUAACGCAAGCCGCAUAAAUUCGAUUUCAGAAGCUCCACUUACUCAUUUUAAAUUUCUGCAAAGAUUCUGUCAUUCCAACAGUUCAUUGUUCUUAAGGAAUUUAAUUAAGCCCUAAUUAUCCUCCAAUGCAAGCUACAAAAUGAUAAAUCAUUUUCUAAAACAAGAAGAAACUCACGAAAAUCUAACCGUGCAAAUUUGAUUCUCAGAAGCUCCGUUUGCUAAAAGAAAACAAGUAUCAAAACUCAAUUAAAAGGAAUUUCUAAUGAAAUUUUAAAAUUAUCGAACUCAAUUUUUUUUAACCUUUUGAGUUUUGCAUAAGCUUGAGCUCUGCGUUGUUGGACGGCGAGGAAUUUACGAAGUAAACCCACGAUUUUUGUAGCGCUUACAACAACAGUAUCCUCGGUAUCCAUCUUGUCUGGUUCAUCCGAGAUUGAAACCUUCUUCUCAAAAUCUUCCAUCUUUUUUUUUUCUUUUUUUUUUUUUGUCUUUCUCUUUGAAUUUAGUCUGCACUUUCGGCUUUGCACGGGAGGGCGAGGAGGAGAGAGAGGGGGAGGGCAGUAAUGGACCGAUGGGCAAGAACCAAAAGGUAUUAGUUUUUGUUCAGAAUACUGGAAUAUUUUUAGGGUUAAUCACAUUUUAUCCCCUUAAAGAAUAUCCAAUUUCUCAGUUUAUCCCCUAACCUUUAAUUUUGCUCACUUAACCCCAUUAGAACAAAAUUACCCUUGCAUUAUUUUGACUUUUCAUUUACCUUAUUUUCCUUUCUUUUAUUUCUUUUUCUCUUUCUUCUUUAUUUAAUUCUUCCUCUUUCCCACAAAAAUUUUCACCUUAAUGAUUGAAAUUAAAAAAGAGGAAUUGCAGAGAUCUAUCUUCUCCUUAAAUGAUUAAAAAAUUAUUCAAAUCACUUUCUAAAAUACAAUUUUUUUAGCCUUUCAAUUCUUUUAAUUUUGGGUUUUCCUUUUUCCUUUCUAGUUUCUCAUUUUAUUCCCAAGAAAAUAUCUUAAGAUGAAAUUGUGGCCUGAUUAAUAAUUAUCAAUUGAAAUUUGUGACACGUGGCAUCAUACAAAAAUUCAAAAUUAGUUUUUGAUGCCUUUUAAACCUUCACCCAAAAAUAUGCAAUUACAAACUCAAAACAAAAAUUUUCAUUGAAAUAGAAUUUCUAUUGGGAAGAAUGAAAGAGAGAAGAAAGAGAAAAAGAAAUAAAAGAAAGGAAAACAAUUUCAUCUUAUGAUAUUUUCUUAAAAAUAAAAUGAGAAACUAGAAAGGAAAGAGAAAAAUCCAAAAUUAAAAGAAUUGCAUAAUUUUUUUUUUUAAGUGUAAGCAGAAGAACUCGAACUCGAGACCUCUUGCUUACACUCCCUCCCCCCAUGUCACCCAACCCAUCCCCCCCCCAAAUUAAAAAAAUUGAAAAGCUAAAAAAAUUGUAUUUUAGAAAAGUGAUUUGAAUAUUUUUUUAAUCAUUUAAGGAGAAGAUAAAUCUCUGCAAUUCCUCUUUUUUAAUUUCAAUCAUUAAGGUGAAGAUUUUUUUGGGAAAGAGGAAGAAUUAAAUAAAGAAAAAAGAGAAAAAGAAAUAAAAGAAAGGAAAACAAGGUAAAUGAAAAGUCAAAAUAAUGCAAGGGCAAUUUUAUCCUAAAGAGAGUUAAGUGAACAAAAUUAAAGAUUAUGGGGUAAACUGAGAAAUGGGAUAUUUUUUAAGGGAAUAAAAUGUGAUUAAUAUUUUUAUAAUGACACCUCAUUUCAUUUCUUGGAUUGUGAAAGUAAAGAAAAUGACUUCAAUUCUUGUUAUUUGUUCAUUAUUUUGCCGGACACAAGAUUCUAGAUUCUACCUACGCCUACUAUACUAGGUAGCCAAGCUAACGCUAUGAACGAAAGAGGAACAGUAAAUCUAAAAUAUUGUAGUGCCAAUUUAUUGUUUUUUCCUAGCAGUUUUUGUAUUGGCUUGUGCAUGUAAAUAAAUGGAUGAAAUUUAUUUAUAUAAUUAGUGUAGAGGAUUGAAAUUAAAUACGGAGCCUAACAACUCUAAAUGUAAAUGCAAGUUUAUUUAUUUAAAAAGAAAUAUGAGUGUAUCAUUGUGAGGAUUUGUGCUUUAGUUUUUUUUCCUUUUUUAGAUUUUUCUGUUGUUUGAGAUUUAGAGAAAAAAGAAACACCAAGAAAUUAUAUAUUUGUAAUCAUAAAUAGAUCCUACAUUAAAGAUAAUUUAUUUUGUAGUAUCAUAAUUGGAUUGAAGCAAAGGGCUAGCAAUUGUGACUUAAAUCUAGCCAUCAAAGAAAUAGUCAAAAUUUAUAUUUUUGCGAUGAGAGAAAAGGUACAUAAAACAAAAUUUAUUUUAAGCUAUCAUGAUCAAAGGAUAAAUUAAGAGUCUUAGGGCAAAUGCUGCCUUAUGUAUAAUUUAUGUAUAGUAUUAAAUUAAAAUUACAGAUAAUGUAGCAACUCUCUAUGUAAAUACAAGCUUAUUUAUUUAAGAAAAAAAAAAGAACUACCAGAAAAUUAUAUUUUUGUGGUAAUAAAAAAUGCAUAAAGGAUAAUCUGUUUUACAGUAUUACAACCAAAGAAAAAGCCAUUAAAGUGUAAGUGUAAAUGCAACCUUAUUUAUUUAGAAAGUAAAUAUAACUAUAUUAGGUGUUUGAGAAAAAAUCGAACAAAAGUUAUAUUUUAGUGUUGAAAAAAAUGUAUAAAAGAAACAAAACCCUUUUAUUUUUUUUAUUUUAUAAUAUUAAUUCUUCUUUUUUGUGGAUUUUCAGCUGGUGGGUUUUCAUUUAUCACAUGUUAUGUUCUUAGUUACCGUUCGAUUGUAAAAUUAGCACACAACUUUGUGGUGCAUUUUGCUAGAGUUUGAAACCUUUGGCCGUUAAUUCGAAGACGUUGUCCUUGGAUUUUCUCUUCUUUUUGCAUAAGAUGAUAAUACAAAUCAUAUAUUACUGUUCUACUACCUUGAAUUACCUAAUGUGAUUAGAUGUUUGCUUUUUCCCUUAAAGUUAGAUUGUACUUUGUAAAAAUACUAGCGAUUUGAUCAACUAUUGCAUGUACUUUUAUCAUACCUCCACCAUUAGAUUAAAGAAUAAAGCAAUGGGUUAGUUUACUUACCAUUGACUCUCUUUUUAGAUGCAAAUCUUUACAACAUGAAACAUAUAAACUAGAUUUGACACUGCCAAAUAAAGUUUAAAACUUUUCUUACUUUCUUCCUUCUCAUUUCCACAUAAUAGAAAUGAAAAGCUCUAAAGUUCCUCAUCCUUUUCUUGUUUGGUAAGAUUUUAUUUGCAUUGUUUCUUUGUUACUGUACUUAUUCACCAUUUGUUAGCACGCUAAGAGAUUUUUUUCUGAAAUGCUUGAUGCUUUAGUUUUGUAGAAUUUAGUUGAGGCUCGACCACAUUGAAUUUUCUAAUUGCUCUCAACUAGUUUUGUCGUGCUACUGGAAACUUGCUUGUUUAUUGUUUGGUUAAAUGUUCUUAGGCAGUUGUUUUCGGCGGAGUUCCUUAUCAAUCAAUUGGCUAUAAUUUGAUAACUUUGAUUGCAAAUAGCUAGACCAUAACUGAAAAAUGAUGUGUAAGCCUUAACAAGUAUCAUUGUAUAUGUCUCCUACACUUUUGACUAUGAAGUUUACCAAUUAAACUCUAGGAAAUCUUGGCAGGCUAUUUAACCUACUUUUUCCCUAUUUGGUCUUUCAUACUACAUCUUGCUUUGAAGUUGGUUGGUUUUCAUAAUUGUUAGUUAGAAAUACUAAAGUUGUCUGCAAGUACCCAAUUAUAUAUAGGUACCGAAGAAAAAAUAAAAAACAAACAUUUCGAUGAUUGCCAGCUCAAAAAUUAACAGAGACUACAUAUAAAAAUAAAUGGGCACAAACAAUUCAUUAUAUUUUUCCAAAAAUAUGAUUGCAAUUGAAAACUUUUGGGUGGGCACUAGCUGUGCAUACAGCCAACCUCAAUUAGUAGUAUCUAAUCUUUUUACCCCUAAAAAUGACCACAUAUAAGUCAAGUGAUGGACUAAGGAUAAAAUGUUGUUGAAAACCUGUGUUAGAAUCAAAUUUUACUUAUUUGAAUUUGUAAGGGAUAUAAAAUUAAUAUUUUAAAAAUGAAACACGAAAAAAUUUACUUGGCAAAAUAUGGGUGGCGUUUGAACAAUUUUCUCUUUUAGAAAUGUUAUUGAAAAUUUUUGAAAAAGAAAAAUCCUACACCAAAUGACAUUCAGCUUAUACAGAUACAAAUUAAAUGAUGGCUCACUUCUUUAAUUUUAGAAAUUGCCAUGUUUAUAUCUAUCGUGCUUAACUAUAACGUGGUUUAUAGUCACUUUUUGUAGCUAAACUCUAUUUAUAAAAAAGAAUAGGAGAAAGUAGAGUGUAAUCAUUAGCAAAGCUAUGUACAUUUGAGGAGUGAGGGUGGGCAACUGCCCUUCCACCCCUCAAAUUUUUAAAAUCUUCUUUUAUACCUUAAAACUAUUAUCAAUCAUAUUUUAACCUAGUUAUAGUUUAAUAGUCCCCCCCCCCUCAAAUUACAAAACUUAUGUAUUGCACCCCCACAAACAAAAUAAUAUGGGGUACUUAUUAAAAUUUAAAUUAAUCAAAUUUCCAUGUAUAGUAAGAAACAAGUAAAGUAAAAUCUAAAAAAUAAAAAGAAGAUAAUAUAUGUAUAAAAAGUCAAAUACUAUCAUAUUAGAUAGAGAGUAAUAUGGAAGGGAUGGCCAAUUGCAUUUAAUGUGUUUAAUAGAGAAAAGAGCUAAUUAUGGGGAAAGAAGAACAACGCAAAAUACACUUAGAAUAUUCCUUUCUUUACUAAAUUUGAAUUACCAUGCACCAUUACUCUUUUAUUUGGUUAAUUUAUCAACUCACUCUUAAAUGAUUUAUAAUUGGGUAAUUUAUUUUGGAUAUUAAAUACACUGCAAUUUAAUACUCAUUAAUUAUGCAUACAAUUUUGUAAAACACUUAUAUUAUUUAUUCAACUAACGAAUAAAAUUAGUGAAAAUGCUAAUUCUAAUUUUUGCUUUUCAAGGAAACACAUAUAAGAGAAUUUUACAUGAUAACUUUGGGUAGUUUGACAUAUUUAUUGGCCAUAAUAGAUUUCUUAAGAUUAGUCAUUCUAUGCUAACUAUCAAUUAAUAAUACAAUACAUUACAUACUAUAUAAGAAAUUAGGCACUUUAGGAUUUUGUAGUUACUUAUACCACCAAAAUAGUUAUUUUGGACCCUGACAACUCCAACUACCACCAAUAUAGUUGAUUCUCAAUCCAAUCCUUAUAUUGCCCAACAAUAGACAGUUGCCCCUUCCCCUUCCCACGAUGCUUAGGUUUAAGUUUCGCCACUAGUGUAACUUUUAUAUUAAAAUUUAAACAUGGGGUAUGGUGCACUGUUUAUUGAAUAAAAAUAUGUAAUAAUUUUCUAUUUGAAUCAUCCUCAUCCAGGUAGGCGCACAUAUUAACAGCUCAAAAUGUAUAUUUUGUUUAUAAGUAUACUACAUAUGUAUGUGCACGAUUCAGAUGUACACAUAUUUCUCAUCAAGGGUCACAUGUUUAUUCAUUAGAUUAUGCAUGUACAAAUAGUCAUGUAUCAAUUUUGAAUGAAUGACAAUUUUACAAAUUUUGAAUUUAAAAUCUAACUUUGUACAUGUGUCAUGGAUCCAACAGUGAUAAUAUAUACAUUGUCAUUAUAUAUAAGAUUUAUUCUUUUUAUUCAUGUAUAUGUGUGUACAAAUAGUCAUGUUUAUGUUCAUCAAAGUACUCAUUCGGCUUCGCAUAUAUGUAGAUAUUUCAAUUAAUACGUGACAUUAUGAUAUACACUUUUGAUCAUAAAAGAACACCUUCUAUUCAUUAAGGUGCACAUUACUAUUGAAUAAAAUCAUAUUGUUAGGUGGACAAUUUAGUUUUUCUGUAAUAAAUCUAUUAAUUGUUUUAUUCACUAAACGAUAACCAGCACCCUAUUCCUAAAUUUCCUAAUACUCAUGUGCUCUUACAAAAAAAAAAAAAAAAAAUCUUCCUAUCCUCAUUUUUUCAAAUUUUCCAAAUGUUUUCUUAGAAAGGCUAUUAUAUAUAACUUUUGGGGCAUUUGAUAAAAAAAAAAUGAUUGGAAACGUAUUAAGACAAAAAUUAACAAAAGUUUCUUUUGUCUAAAAACUUGCAAUCCAUACAAGUUCCUAAGCCUUUUGGAAAAUUGAAGAUGCACAUGAAGAGUAAUUAAAAGGUCAGGAUAAAAUAAAUGCUAGUAUACAUUUUAACAUGGUGAAUUUGGCACAUAUUAGGAGCAAUGGUUAGAAAAAUAUUUUUUUAAGUUAGAAAAAUAGUUGUUUAUCAGCAAGACAUAUCGCAUAUUUAAAUUUUCUCUCAUUUAAUUUUGGACAAAUAAAGUUCACAUAGAAUAUUUUGUCAUGGGUAUAUGAGUUGUUCUACAUGUCGUUUCUACUAUAAUACUAUAAUAGUGUUGUCAUUAAUUACCCCUUCCUUCAUUUUCUUCUUCACCUUGGAAUGUGUGGGUUCUUUAUCUUCCUAAUUGUCAUGUGCUAGUCUUUUACUAUCCUUUCUUUUUGCCUUUGUAGUGAAAUUUAUAAUUCAAAUUUUUGUUUUAUCAUGAUCUAUAGGUGCAUUAUAAGUUUUUAUUUUAGAUUUUUGUCUUUAUUGUUAAGAACUUAUUUUGUAAAACGCAUUGGGUAGCCUUCUUAUUUGACAUUGCAGAAUUUUCUUUCGACAUUAUAUAAUUGAAUGUAUAUUGACAAUUUUGAUGGAUUUGGUGUAUAUAUAAUUUGUUUGUACAAGUGAAUCCAAUUUUUUCCUUUUGUUCUUGAUUCUUAAUUCGUCACAUACAUCCAUAGACAUUUUUUACUUGUAUAGUUGAAUACCAAUCUAUUAAUCCACCUUCUCUUCCCAAUUUCCAUUUAUCAUUCUAGCAUGAUGUCAAACCUUAUAAUCUCCCAAAAAUUUUCUAUCUAGUGUCCUAUAGUUGUUAACACACCUAAAUUAUACACCACUUAACAUAUAAAUUACACAAUUAUAUAUUGUAACCUUUACAUUUAAAUAUUUUUUCAAAUUAAUGAUACUUUUCCAAAAGAACUAAUACCUAAAACCCCUUUUAACAAGUACUUGUUGACUGUGAAAUAUUCUUGCUUUUAAUUCAUAUCAUGUUUGUUCUUUUAUCUUGGUAGAGUUCCUUUUCUUCUCUUUCAAGGGUGCUAUCUUUCAUGUCCUCCUUAGUGAUCUAGUUUCCAUCUCUUUUAUAUGGUUUAUUCACAUUCACUAUGUUUUAACUUUUAGAGUAUCUAUUUCUUUUGCAAAAUCCUUUUGAGUGUUUAUCACCUUCUCGGGUGAUUUUUUUUUUGUAAACUCUAUAUUUUUAUUGAUGAAUCAAUAAAGCACACAUAUAAUUACCAAAGUGUAUGCUAUUAAUGCUAUAAACAUCUUGCCCAUCCUUUCCACACAAGAUAUAGACUAUACACAAAGACCUAAUUUUAGAGACACAAACAGCAAUAGACAUUCCAAGUGCUUGACACAAGUUGAACUUUUCUACUUUUUUUUGUCAUAUUACUCCAUCAUGCAACAACUCCUUUUCAUAUCCUUAAUAAUUUGCUGAGUCAUGACUUCAGCAGGAUAAACUGAGUUUAGAAAUACUUGUUUGUUCCUACUGUUAGAGUGAGUUGAUUAUAAUUAUCUAUUUUUUAAAUUUAAAUUGUAAAUCAAUUAAAGAUUAGAUCAGGAUAGAAUAGGUUAGUUGUCAUUUUGAAUGUUUGUCUAGAUUUGUUGUACCUUAUCUUAUUGUAAGUUUAUAUAUAAGCCAUAUACCAUUAUACAUAGUUGUUGUGUGAAAUAGAAAAAAUAUUUUCCCCAAAAAAACUCUUUUCUUUUUACAUGGUAUCAAAGCAUGUAAAGAAGGAGGAGGGUGAUCAGAAUGAGACAAGUUAGAGGGCCGAUUGAGAAGUAUUACAAUGACCUUCAAGACUUAUGGAGAAAGAUCUAUUUCUAUUAGGCAAACUCAAUGGAGUGUGAUGUCAAUAUCAGUAGAUAUAACUCUCUCAUACAAAACAGAGGAUGUACAUUUUUCUCGAUGGGUUAGAUGAUUGAUUGAACAAGAUUCACAGUGACAUCUACGAAUGAAGCCGUUCCCAACAGUGGAAGAAGUAUAUGUCUAUAUUUGGUGUGAAAACAACAAACAAUCAAUAAUAUUGACAAGGGGAGACAACACAGUCAGCUCGAUCAUGAUGUCCAAACAAGUGAAAGGUGGAUUGAUUAUAUUGCCUCAAACUAAAGUGCCAACCGAUGGGGAUAGUUGUACUUACUGUAGCAAGAAAGGACACGCUCAUGAUAAUGUUUGGUAGAAGGAGCACAAAGGACAAACUCAUGAUGUUUUAAACUGCAUGGGUAUCCGGUUUGGUGGAAGGAGCACAAAAGACAAAGUCAACAAGCUGAUUGAUUAAAUGUUGUUGAUCAAAAUAGUUUUGGAAUAGUGGUUACUACAACUGCUGACUCAAUAAAAUCAGUUACGAUUUUUAAUAUUGCAUAGGCACCUUCUGCCGAUACCUCAAACACUUGUCAGCAUCAAGAUAAUUAUAGUCCUUAUGAGCAUGACAUUGACUGGAUUGUGGAUUCAGGAGCUACUAAUUAUAUGAUCUUUGAUUCAAAUGAUUUCUUAUGUGUUAUUUAUCCAAAAUGUUCAAUGAUCUCUAAUGACAAUGGUGUUAGAUAUCUAGUUACAUGGGUUGAAACUGUUAUCCUAUCAUCAUCUCCUUCUUCACCUAACACAUUAUUAAUUUCCUCUCUAGCAAAUAAGUUACUAUCUGAGUUAAUUAUAGCCGAUCUUAAUUUUGUAGCACAUCUAACCUUUUAUUUUCUUCAAGAUAUUCUCACUAAAGAGAUAAUCAGUCAUCGUACUAGGAAAAAAGGCUUAUAUUACAUAAAUGAAUUCAGUCAGGGUAAAGCUAAUCAAACAAAGAGCACCGAGAAUACUAAAGAGAAAGAGAUUUAGUUAUGGUAUCGGUGGUUUGGACAUUCAUCAUUCAGUUAUAUGAGGCAUUUUAUUUCCUGAUUUAUUUUUUACUAUAAACAUUGCUAAUCUAAAAUAUGAUACUUGUUUCCUAAUCAAGAGUCAUAAUGGUCCCUUGUUCAAUCAACCCAAAUAAAUGUAGUGCACAAUAAUGUCUUGGGGCCCUCAUCGAUUACUUCAUCCAUUAGUAUUCGUUGGUUCAUUCUAUUUGUGGAUGACUAUACUAGAAUGACUUGGUUAUACUUGUUGAAAUAUAAGAAUGAAGUGUUGGAUAUUUUUAAAUCAUUUUGUUCAAUGAUUCAUAUAUAGUUUUCAGCUACAAUCAAGAUUCUUCAGUUUGAUAAUAGUGGCGAGUGUGACAAUCAAAUAUUAUAGGACUUUUUCAAUACUAACAGUCUCAUACAUGAAAUUUUCUAUAAUCAGACUUCUCAGUAAAAUGGAGUGGUUGAGAAAAAAAAUUGGCAUAUACUAGAAACAGUACCUGACUUGCUAAUUAGUACAAAUACUUUGCACCGAUAUUGGCUUGAUGCAAUCACCACAACAGUUCCAUUCGUUAAACAAGAUACAUUUAAAAGCCAUAAGUUUUCAGGUUGCAAUGUAGGCUCUCUCUAACCAUUUCAUCCUAGCAUCGGUGCUAAUGAUUCCACCAUGAAUGUUUGGUUAUGUGGCUUUUAUUCAUUUACAUAAGAAUCACCACAGCAAAAUGGAUCCUUGUGCUAUCAGAUGUGUUUUUUUUUUUUCAAAUAUAUCGUGUACAACAAGGAUCAUUGGUCUUAUGAUCCAUCCAACAAGAAGAUGUAUGAAAUAAUGGAUAUUGUUUUUUUGGAAUCAGAAAUUUUUUUCAUCAUCAAUAUCCAAUUCUUCACUUUAGGGAGAGAUGAAAGAUAUGGAAGAGCAAAAUUGGUCAGAAUUGGCAUGGUCAUCAUGGCCAAGUACCAAUCAGUUUAAUGCCGAUUUACACCUUGAUAUUGAUGUAUCAAUUGUCGAUUUGCCAAUCAUCGAUGGUGAAAAAAGUGAUUUGCUUAUGACUAAGGGUGGAAAUACUCCUAGAACUAAUAGUACUCCUGAUGUCUCUCAAGAAAUUGUUGCUGAAUAUGUCUUUUGAAAAAACUGAUAUAGAAGUUGAUAUGAGAGAUAUAACUCCUUCCUCCUUAAUAUCUGAUCAUUUUUCUCUUGAGAAUAUUUUUGAUAUUAAUACUUUUACUACAUUUUCACUUUCUACUGAUUUGAAUAUAACUGCUCAUUAUAUGUUGCCUGACAAAUCUAAUCAUAGCAAGCAAUCAAAUCGAUAAUCUCCAGAUGCCUAUGUAAAACAGUCAAAAUAUUUCAUUGCUAAUUAUAUGUCAACUCACAGGCUAUCUAAAUCUUUAGAAUCAGCUGAUAUUCCAAUUAGACUAUAUGCUACUUUUAGGGAUCCAAACUGGACCAAAACUGUAAAGGAUGAAAUGUGGGCAUUGCAGAAAAAUAAUGCAUGGAUCUUAGUCCCACUAUCAAAAGGAAAGAGGACCAUGGGAUGCAAAUGAAUUUUCACAAUCAAGUACAAGGCUGAUGGAUCAAUCAACCGAUAUAAGGUGUAACUUGUGGCAAAGGGUUACUCGCAGACGUUUGGCAUUGGUUACUAAGAGACUUUCUCACCGAUUAGAGACAGUUAGAGUCUAUUAUCUCUUGCAGCUAAUCUUGAUUAGUUGUUUUAUUAGUUUGAUGUAAAAAGUAUCAUCUUGCAUAGUGAUCUUGAGAAGAAGGUGUAUAUUCCAUCUAGGUACUCCACAAUUUCGAAAGCAAAUGUUGUCUGUCGAUUACAUAAGGCAUUUGUAUGGAUUUAAAUAAUCGCCGUAUGCUUGGUUUAGCCGAUUUACUCUAGUUAUAAAAAAAAUGAUUUUCAAUAGAGUAAUGUAGAUCAUAUCUUAUUCUUGAAACAUCAGUUUGGAAAAGUAACAACACUAAUUAUCUAUGUCGAUGACAUAAUUAUUACAAGUGAUGAUGCAGAGGAUAUUUCCAACCUACACGACAGAUUAUCAGCUAAGUUCGAGAUGAAGAGUUUGGAAAGUCUAAAAUAUUUUUAGGUAUUGAAGUGGCAAGGUCAAAACAAGGCAUUUUCCUAUCUCAAAAGAAGUAUGUACUUGAUCUUUUGGCAGAAUUAAGACUACUAUAUUGCAAAUCAAAAGACACGCUGAUUAUUCAGAACCAUAAACUCAGAAAAUAUCCUGAUCAAGUGCCAACUGACAAAGAGAGAGAAAUAUCAGAGGUUAGUUAGUAAACUGAUUUAUCUAUCACAUACUUAUCUAGAUAUAGCAUAUGCUGUUAGUGUUGUCAGCUGAUUCAUGCACUUUCCUAAUAGUCGGCAUAUGGAAAUGUGAUCUAGUUCCUUCAAUAUUUGAAGGAUGCACCUAGAAAAGGACUUUUGUUUUCCAAGAAUAAUCACCUCAAUAUUGAAGAUUAUUCAAAUGCUAAUUGAGCGGGAGACCCUACCUAUUGGAAAUCGACUUUAGGCUAUUUUAUAUUUGUGAGUGGCAACUUAGUCACAUGGAGUAGCAAGAGACAGAAAAUGGUGGCUUUGUCUAGUGCAGAAACCGAGUUUAGAGGAAUGGUCAAAUAGGUUUAUGAACUUCUACAGUUUAAGAUAUUGCUUACCGAUAUCCAUCAUGCUCCAACUUCUAAAAUGGACUUGUUUUGUGAUAACAAAUUAGCCAUUGACAUUUCUCAAAAUCCAGUGCAGCAUGACUAGACUAAACAUAUCAAGAUUGAUUGACACUUCAUUAAACAAAACCUAAAAGAUAAUGUGAUAAGGUUUCCAUUUGUGAAAUCUGAAUAUCAACUAGUUAAUAUAUUCAUCUAGGCUGUGCCAAUUAAGAAUUUCUAUAAUUCACUUGAUAAGUUAGGCAUGUGGGAUAUUUAUGUACAAACUUGAGGGGGAGUGCUGGAGUGAUGUGAUUGUAGUUAUCUAUUUUUUCAAUUUAAACUGUAAAUCAAUUAAAACUUAUAAAAGAAUAGAAUAGGUUAGUUACCAUUUUGAAUGUUUGUCUAGAUUCGUUGUACCUUAAUUUGUUAUAAGCCUAUAUAUAGGGCACAUACCAUUGUAAUUCUUGUGUGAAAUAGAAAAAAUAUUUUCCCAAAAAAACUCUUUUCUUCUUUACACUACUUCACCAUAUAUGAUAAACAGUGAAAACAAAUGCUACUCUUUUCACACAACAUGCAAAAGAAUCUUUUGAGCAACGACAAAUCAUCUAGUCAACUUUCUUAUCCCAAUCAAUAGCUUUCCAAAAAAUCAAGCAUCCGCUUUGAACAAAUUCUAAUACAUAUUCCAAUCUAUAAACUAAGUAAGGGCAUAGGAAACAUAGAUGGGAAUGAUUCUUUAGGUUAGAAGAUAAGGCCAUAUCUAGGAUCCAUCACAAGAUACAGACUUGAGUCUAUACUUUAUACUUAGCCUCUGUCUACAUGUUAGCUACAAGAUGCAUGAGUGCCUUGUAUCAUGUUUCUUUCACCAAACAAUUUUAAACCAUGGAAUAGAAGCCUCAAGCCCAAUUAAGAUCAGCUGUAGAUUUACCACUAUAAACCAUUUUUUGCAUCAUGUAUCCACCUAGUAGUGUCAACUUCAACUUCAUUGGACAUUGGUAGAAUUUGAUCAGGAGUUGCAUCAAUUCGUUGUAGUAGCUCACCUUUCUUCACCUACCCUUAGUCCAAUGCCAUUUAUCACCCACAAUGAUAAGCUACUCUUGAAUUAGUGGAGUGUAUACGUUACACUCAUUUCAUUUUUCUUGCAAGGUCAGUGAUAUAUUUACAUUCAAAUAUUUUGUUUGCAUGAGAAUUCAAGGCAUAUUUAAAAUGAUUUUUUUCUGUAUUGUGCUCUAAUGACAGCUACAAGCAUACCAUAAAGUGAAUGUGAUCCCACUACAAAAUUUUAACAUUAUUACUAUCCCUUAAAAUAAAAUAUAUUUUAGCAUUAAUAACUUAAAAUUUUUCAAACAAGAUAACACUUAGCCACUUUUAAUCCUCUACCACUAGGGCAUGUAAUGGAAGAAUCAUACAUAAAUAUAUGUAUAUAUAUGUAUCAUUAGGGCAUGUAAUAGAAGAACCUUACAUAUAUAUAUAUAUAUAUAUAUAUAUGUACACACACAUACACAACUAUGUAGAAAUAUAAUAUAUGUACAUAAAUAUUGAAAACUAAAAGGGAAGUUGAUUGAUAGAAUAUAUAUUAUGUACUUGUAAAGAGAAUAUAUAUAUAUAUAUAUAUAUAUAUAUAUAUAUAUAUAUAUAUAUAUAUAUAUAUAUAUAUAUAUAUAUAUAUAUAUAUAUAUAUAAACAAAGGAACUCACCGGAGGCAAGUACUCAGGUGUUGUGUAGCCGUAGUUGUCCGAGACAACAAGUCAAGUACAAUUGGAGACUCAAUUUAACUCACACUUAGUUAGCCAACUCUAGCUAAGCCUAGAAUUUUAGACUUAGAUAAGAAACUCUACAAUUACUUUUUUUCUUUUGUCAAAAGUCUGCUUUGUAUGUAUGGGUGUAAAAGUAGAUACAAAAAUGUAUGCUCCUUUACAAAAGCCUAGCAAUUGUCAGAUAAUUUGUAUGUGCAGCAUCCCUCAGCCACAUAGGGAAGGACUCCUUUUACUUGAUCUCAUUCAAGAGGUUAAUGGCCAAUUCGGUCAAACCAUAACUACCUAGGUUCAUUUCCUUGAUUACAAAGGCAAAUGAACACUACCAAAAGGAUGUACUAAGUAAUCUAAAUCAUUAAUGAUAAUCUCUAGAGGGGUUAUACCAAAAUAAUCCUGAUUAAUCUUGUCAACAACUAAUUUACAAUCAGAGAAAAAGAACAUAAUAGAUGUCCAAUGUUUCUUCAACUCCAAUAGCUUAGCAGCUCAGAUGGUAGUUGCUUCUAGGAUUGCCGCAUCACAACCGAACUGGAUUGGGAUUGCCCGUGUUGUGAUGAUGUUUCCUUUCCAAUCCUUAACUGCAAUUCCCAUCCCAGCUUUGUUUUUUGAUGUGUUCAUGGCAGAAUCAGUAUAUAUCCAUAUUGAAUGUUGUGCGUGUUGUACUUUUAUCAUCUGUAGCCACUCCAUCUCAAUCCUUCUCAUAGGAUUGAGGAAUGACUGUAGGCUUACACUCUUUUUUUGCCUCUUUGAACUUAAACCAUUCUUCCACAGCUCUCUUGGCAAUCAGUUGGCCAUCUUUUUUGGAUAAGUUGAAGCAUUGUUCAUUCCUACUUUUCCAUUGUUGCCAAAGGAAGUUCGCCGUAGCCUCAAUAAUGCUCUUUCCCUUCCACUCUUGAUUUGGCCCCUUGCAUUAUCUCCCACCAUGUCUAGAAGUUCCACUUUAGUUCCUCAAUCCCAUCCCAUUGCACAGGAAAGGACUGUCUAUCUAGCUUUCCAAUAGAUCAAGAAGCCAGUUGUUUAGGGAUCUAGGGUUUGAGUUUAUGACCAAAUUACUCUUAACUAGUAGGAAGACUGGUCCAUAUCGUAGCCAUAGAAAAAUACAUCUGUGGUUCGAGUUUUAGGAUAUGCAAAAUGUGAGAAUUGGACUUUCAUAUCUCAUAACUUUGUACUCUUUUCUUUACUUUACAAUUCUUCAAAAAUCAUCUCAAUCCAAUAUCUGUAGCAUACAUUAUAGCCAACAUACUGAAAUAUGUCAUUUCUACCAAUCAUAUAUUUUAUUGUUUCUUGAUUGCAUUUCAUUUCUUAAAUUGAAUCUUUUGCACUUCAUGUUCCUUGAAGUCAACUUUAAAUUAUUAAAAAUCAUUCGAAUAUCUUUUCACUUCAAUCUAAUUGAUGAUUUUUACAAGUUUUAUGCUUAAGUUUACUUCACCUAAUGAAUCACUUUAUUUAAACCAUUAGCACUCCACAUCAUUAUUUAUUAAUCAUUAAAAUAAGUGUUCAUAUAGACCAUAAGAUCUUUAGUGGUCAUCAUCAAAAUCCCAAGAAUUAGAAAUUUUGCAUUUUGUUUACUAUUUGUGAGUUAUUUAUCAAAAAAUCACUGCAUUGAAACUGCCAAUUAUGGGUUAGUUCAUUGAUUGCAUUUAUCUUAUGAAAAGAAAAAAGUGCAUUGUUUGCCUUAGGGGAUAAUUAUUUGAGUUCUCCAGCAUAAAAAUUUAUGGUUAAUUAUGGAUUUUAAUAGUCCAAUUUAAGGAAAUAGUGAACACAAAAUAGAUUUAAAAUGAAAAGAGCAUCCUUUCCCUUAGAAAAUAUGAAAGUACAUUCUCGAAACAUACAACAAAACUUUGACAUUUUCUCACAAAGAUACAAAAGACAACCAUAAAGCUCAAAUCAUAUAAACAAAAAUAUUAUGAAACUUCAACAAAAUAAUCAAGUAUGCAACAUAUACUUCAUCUUUAACAUAUACUUUGUCCAUGUAGUCCAAUUAUAUCCCUAGUUAGAAUAUUCUCC
rnacentral:lncRNA from 1 species